CGUCGCCGACAUCGACUGUGGCGACGCCGGUAAUCCGCUUGCGGUCGUUGACUACGUCCACGAAAUCUACAGCUUCUACCGGGAAUCAGAGGUGAAGAGAGCAUUCCUCCAUUAAUGGAAGCUAUUUCUCCUCUCUGAUCGUUCAUUUUCUGUCAAUUAAUGGAGAAUUAGAAGCGUGCCCACAUGAUUAUGUUAGUUGGGAGUAAUAAAAAUAGUAGUUUUGGAGAGUACCCGUUGGCUGGAGUCAAUUGAGGAGCUGAGGGUCUUCGUAAUUUGCAGGCCUCCGGCUGCGUCUGCCCUAAUUAUAUGGCUAACCAGUUCGACAUCAACGAGAAGAUGAGGGCCAUCUUAAUCGACUGGCUGAUAGAGGUGCUGCGAUCGAAGUCCCCCUUUUUUUUUUUCUUUCCAAGUUUCUUCUUCCAGCGACCUCGAGAACUUCAGAUUGCAUGAACGAGAAUCGCUCGCAGGUGCACCACAAGUUUGAUCUGCUGGACGAGACCCUGUUCUUGACCGUGAACAUCAUCGACAGAUUCCUGGCCCGCCAAUCGGUGGUCAGGAAGAAGCUCCAGCUGGUGGGGGUCACCGCCAUGCUCCUCGCCUGCAAGUACGAGGAGGUCUCCGUCCCAGUCGUGGAGGAUCUGGUCAUAAUCUGCGACCGAGCUUACACCAGAUCGGAGAUCCUGGAGAUGGUAGUCCCUCUAUCUGAUCUGCCCGCCGUGUUUAAAGCAGCCCUCAUCAAGAACCCUAAUUUUUUUUUCUUCUGUUCUUCCUCAGGAGAGAUUGAUGGUGAACACUCUUCAGUUCAAUAUGUCCGUGCCCACGACUUACGUCUUCAUGAGGAGGUUUCUGAAGGCGGCAGAGUCCGACAGAGAGGUAUCUUCAUCAUCGUCUCCAUCCUCCGUUUUUUUUUUGUUGCUCUGUUCUUCCAUUCCUCCAUCUGGAUUCUGAGGGGAUAAUGCUCCGACAGCUGGAGGUCCAUUCCUUUUACAUUAUUGAGCUGUGCCUGGUGGAGUACGAGAUGCUCAAGUUCCCCCCUUCGUUGCUGGCCGCCGCGGCGAUCUACACCGCCCAGUGCUCCCUCCGGCGGUUCAGUACCUGGACCAGGACCUCCGAGCUCCACACCGGCUACUCCGAAGACCAGCUACUGUGAGCCCCCUUCUUCUUCUUCAUCAUCAUCUUCUUCUCCCUCAUCUUCUAUAUCUUCGUCAUCAUCUUCUUCUCCCUCAUCUUCCUUAUCUUCAUCAUCAUCAUCUUCUUCCUUCAUCUUGUUCUUCUUGGUCUCUGAUUGAAGGAGCUUGUGGAGUUUUUCAGGGAGUGCUCCAGGAUGAUGGUGGACUUCCACCAGAAGGCAGGGGCGGGGAAGCUCACCGGGGUCCACAGGAAGUACAGCACCUUCAGGUUUGGGUACGCUGCAAGGUCCGAACCAGCUCUGUUCCUCCUGGACAGACGACCGUAGCUUAAUUAAACUCUUCUGCUGCAAAGACGAAGAUUGGAAGGAGGAGUUAACCACCAACAACAGAAAUCUGACUUUCUUGGUCUUCUGGUGCAAUCGAAGUUGCAGAGAGAGCAGGCAACUGAAGUUGCAGAAGCUUGUGGAUUGAUUGAGAUGAAGCGCCGAGCUGCUCUUUUAGCUUUUCCAUCAGCCUAACCAAUACAUUCAUUACCUCUGAUGAUGUGCUGACCGCCGGGUUGCUUCGAAUUUUUCGUGAAUGGGGGGGGGCCAAUAAUCGAUCAGAAUCUUCGAAACAGUUCCCCCUUGUAGAUCUGACCUUCAUUCAACGUGGUGAUUUCCUCAGUUCUGAGCAAUCCACUCUUCCGCAAUCUUCAGAAUGAAACCUGUCGGCUCCUCGGAUUUCUCCUAACCGUAAGAAUAUUCUGCACCAAUUUACAGUGACAGGAACAUUCGCCACUGGAUUAACGAUAAAAAAGCCAGAGAAAAAUUAUAAUUUCCGGAUAAUCAGAGUAAUAAACAUAACCAGCCAUAUUGAUUUUAUUCUGGAUGAUGAGAAAAACCUGAGGAUGCCAAAAUACCACAGAGCCAGCGAGAGAGAAAAUAAAAAAUAAAAUGGCAAAAACCUUAACAGAGGGUGACAGUCUGGGAAGGAACCACCAAUUGUGGUUGAUCAAUUGGGUGAUGAAUUCAACCACAGGGAAAAUUCGGCAAAAGAUUGGUCUCAUAUGCUUUGGAUGAAAGCUGGCACGUCUCCAGAAGACGUUAUUGCUGGUUCCUGGCAUUAACCUCUCUCACCAGCAGCGGCCGCCCAAAAAAUUCCUGCAUUAGCAAAAGCAGCAAAGAAAUGCACCAUUUUAUCAUCAUCACACGGGCAUUAUUUAUAAAUAAAUAUAGCUCCGAGUGUGUGGGAGUAGAGCCCAAGAACGAAUGAGGUACCGUUCCGCUUGAUAACACAGCAGCUUGGAGUUCUUCAAUGUUGGAGAAUGAGAGAAACCCGUACACACGCCUCUUUCCAGACUUUCUAUCACGAAACAAUUUGAUGCUGACCACUGUUCCAAACUGGCUAAAAUGCUGUCUCAAGUCGGCAGGUUGCGUAGACCAUGGGAGAUUGCCAACAUAGACCUUAUGCGGGCCUUCAUAGAAGAUGACUUUCCUGGUGUCUGCAUUUAAAUUUGCAGUAUUUUUUUUCCCAGACGCCAUUUCAGCUGAAAAUCUGACACGCAGUUCUCGCCCUCCUAAUUCCUAGACGAAGGUAAAACCAGGCAAAGUUAGUGUUAAAACACACCCAUACAUACACAUCCAAACUACUCUCUCUCUCUCUCUCUCUCUCUAUCUAUCUCUCUCUAUGUAUAUGCAUACAUAGACACAUUUACUUAUACAGCAUAAAAGAUGGGCACUUGACUUACGGAUCCAUCCAAGGCAGCCACAGCCUCUGUAGCUUCAAGAAUAGAACUCAUAGUAACAAGGCCACAGCCCCGGCUAACACCAGUUUCAGGGUUCCUUGAAACCUACACAGGCAUCCCGAGAAUAAGUAAGAAUCGAUCAGGAAGAAACUUUAACAGCCGAAUUCGCAGAGACACGCCAGUCGAUCCACCAAUAUCGCACGAUUGGUGGCUUGAUGCUCACAUAAUAAUCCAGCCAAAGAUUUAGCUCAACUCGCUUGCAGUCGAAUCAGCCAAGUCAGUGUUUCCAGAGAAUGAUGGAGGCGUUAGAGUUAUGGUUCAACUGGACUACGAUCAAAUUCUUCAUCCAAAAACUGAGGUAUUCUACGAAGGAUCGAGCCUUCGUAAGUUGAGGAAAUUUGAGGAAAUUGCCACAUAUCUAGUCAAUAUAGCGGUUCAAUUUGAGGAAAUUUCAGAUCACCAAGAACUGCAAUGUCCUUUCUAGACGCCAUCAGGAGUGAGAGGAUCAUCAAUCUAUCACGAUGGUAAAUGAAAUAGAGCACCCAAGGGCACACUAUUUUUCCAGUCAACCAACAAAAUUUUCUCCACGAAUGCGAGAAUUCCAAAAAGAGAUCUGAAUGUAUAAUUUCCCAGAAACUCGGGAACACGUCUUCUAUAGAUGGAUCGCGAAUUCAAUUGUAUCACGAAACCGAUUGAAGAAUUGGGGAGAUGAAUACGAAAUUGGAGCCUCCUGCUUCAGAGAAGAAACUACGCGCAUCUGAAGGUCCGAGACUGUGAGACCUUACCUCCACUGAUUGGACGGUGCCGUAGGGAGAGAAGACAUCAAGAAGGUCUGAGAUGUCAGUGCUCCUGGGCAGGUUGCAGACGUAGAGCUCAUACGGCCGCAAUCUAGCUUUCCCUCCGGUUGCCUUCUUUUCGUCCACACCUUCGGUAGCUUCUUCUCCGACAUCCUGCUCGGCCGAAGCGGCAGCUGCGUCAACUUCUGCGACGGAAUGAAUCCUCGACCCCUUCCGGUCCCGCGACCCGAGGACGACACUGAAGAGAGGAAACGGAGAGGUGGAGACGGAAACGCAGCAAUGUCCAGGCGACGAUGGGGAAGCGAAGAGAGUGGCGCAUGGAGAAGCCAGAAGGCCGGGCUUGCGGGGCACGGCGAGCUUGGUGGAUGCAGGAAAUGGGGCGAAGCUAGAAGACGCCAUGGCUUCCACUGCCAACUGGUGCUGCUUGCUCCCGUCGUCAACGACAGGAGGAUAAGGGAGGAGAACGAUUUCAGCCACUAGAAAACAUUCCAGGAAGUCAUUCUCUUCAAAACAAUGCCUUCCUCCUUCGAUCCAGGCAUUAUCCUCUUGAGUGGCCUCGACAGCCCCUUAUGUUCCCAGAACCCAUUCUCGUAACAGGAAGAAAACCAUUCCUAGAAGCCAUUCCUGGAAACGGAAAUGCUGUCAUUCCUCCCCCUUCGUUAACCGUUUCUCAGUCCGGCCCAAUAAAGGCCAGACUUAUUGGGCCUCAAUGUUUGCGAAAGUCGCAAUUAUCGACGACCAGAACUGUAAACACCUGUACAAAAAGCGUAAGGGCAUAUACACAAUUAAUAAUAAUAACCAGGAUUUAAACAGUAAAAACAGGCGAGGGCGUGGUGAUGUGGGGACCAGAUUUCGAAUUGACGCGGGGAAGGAUUCGAAAUUUCACGGGCCGGUGUGGGGCCCACAUGUCGGAUCCGGUCCAACUGAUUCUGACCUCGCAUUGGCCCGGAAGCGCUUUUCAGACGAGAAAUCAUGAUAAUUGCAUUAUUUUUUUAUAAUAUAAUAACCAUAAAAUUAUUCGAUCAUUCCAUAAUGUCUUUUUCCUUGUUUGGAAUUAUACUAUCUUUGACCUGUUCUUGAUCAGUCGAAAGGAUUGACUUUCUGGGGGAUUUUAGACUUUGAUAUUGCUAAUAAAUCAUUAUAAUUGCGUGAAAAUUUGAGAAACUAGACCGAUAAGAUGACUGUAAAAUUGUUCUGUAAUUCCAUGAUGUACUACUUUCCUUCACUGAGAUUAUAAUAUUUUUUACCUGUAACUCGUUCGUGAUCAGUCAAAAGUGUCGAAUAUCGUACCAUUUAGACUUCGAUAUAGGCAAGAUCCAAGAAGGGUGGUAAAAAAAAUCAUAAUUUUAAACUGGGCCCAAGAGCUGGUUAACUUUUGGAAAUAAAUUACAGUCGUCGAGGCAUCGAAGGCGGAGCAGGCUCGUGGGGGAGGGGCUCUGUACGGGCCUGCUGUGUUGCCCAGUAAUGGCGUCCUCACGGAGCUCGCGCGUGCUUGGUGGGUGCUGAAUGCUGCUGCUGCUGCUGCUGCCAUUGCUCCUCUGAUCCCAGGGUCCGGCCACAGUGGGGGGAGGCAGGGAGUGGCUGGAGGUCACUGGGGUUGUCCCCUUGUGUCGAUGCGGAGGUUGUGGACUGUGCUCCUGGCGACAAGGUCGAGGAUAGGAGUCUGAGGGAGCGGCCAAGAACGCGGCAUUUUGGAUGGGGUCGAUGUCGGGUGGUCGGCACCAGAAGGGCGGAGGAGGGGCGGGAGGUGGGGGGAUCUCCACCAGAUGGGUGUGUCUUCUCUGCAUCUCCUGCUUCUGCUUCGGCGCGUUCGUCGUCAACAGGUUCGCCUCCUCUCGUCGUUGGUCGAAAUCUCUUUUAUCAGGAACAACCGCCGUUUUUCUUGCAUGGAAGGAACUGGGGUGGAGAUAGAUUGCACAACUUUUCGGUGCUCUGUUCCUCGUUUCUUGAAGUUUUCAUCCCAGCAUUAUCAUCCUCUCACCCCCACACAUCCGAGGAGUUUCUUCUUAUUUUCUCAUUCUAGAAACACUUAUUUAUUUAUUUAUUUCAGUCGCAGGUGAAUGAUUCUUUUGAUCUUGUGCUUCUCACUUUUUUCUACACUCUAUCGUUAUGUGAUUACUAUUGGUAGGUUUCUGGGUGAUCAUCCUGGUGCAUGAAGUGGGACAAAUCGAUAUAGAAAAAUAGGCAGGCGACUUGCUACAUCUAGAAGUGAGUUUCUUCAAGAUGGAGAAGAUUGGAUGUUGGGUUUCAGCAAGGCUGGGUAAAGGGACUCGAUGCCUUCUCUGUCAAGUUUGCUAACCAUUUUCAGCGGGACUUUGGUGCCGUCAUGUUACCGUCUUGGAUUCUUGUUCUCCUUUGAGGGGAAGCAUUAAAAUCUGAAUCAGUUCCAUCUUGACAUAGGGUUUGGAGAUUCCUGGUCAGUGAUUGAUAUCUCCUGUUCUGUUUUCUAUGAUUUAGGCGUUUUUUUUGAAACUGGACUGUGCCCAAAAUCGACUAAACUUGAAAGAGGAAGAUGUGGAUGUGCAUCAUAUUUGGAAACAAUGGGGAUUCAAUGCCCAGUAAGUAGCCGGGAUGUGGGCUCAUUUGCACCAUUUUAGGGAUUUAUGUCCUUUUGGGAGAGAUGCAUUCGGCUUUGAGAGAUAUUUUUGGAAUCUGUGACAAUUAUAAUGGAUAGGAUCAAGAGACGAUCAUUGAUGUUGGCUGGAUGCAGAUGAUAAUCAUGGUAUAUCGUGGACAGAAAGUGAAGCAUUUAGGUGGUAUGAACUCAUUUUGAGUCACUCACUCCAUCUUUACACAGAAAAAUUUUGGCUGAGGAAUCCUCAUGCCAAAAUAGUCAUUGUUACCAUCAGCCUUUUAUUGUUGUAAAUAACCUUACGUGUUCAUCUGCCAUUCUUCUUAUGCAGUUUUUCCUUUUCUUCUUCCCUUCUCUUUUCUCAUGUUGCUGCAUUAUGGCUGCACAUGUACCCACUCAAGUUUCUGCUGUUUUGAGUUCAACAGGCGUAACCAAGUAAUGAAGAACAAUGUUUCUAGUACCUUUCUAUUUAUGUUGCUAAAAUCUGUCCUACUUUCUAAGCUCCUUCUUAGCUUGCCCCACAUCUCACAGGAUACUGUUUGUUCCUGAGACAACUGGGGCAGAUGGUGAGAGAUCAGGUGCCCAGAAGGUCAAGAAAGCCCCUCACCCAGAUAUUAACUGUGGAGACAAGGUUAGUCUCUGCAGAUUCUUUUUUGAAUGCAUGCUUUGAAUAGCAUGCUUCCGACGAUUGAUACCAAGUACCCCGGUGUCUAUCCAGACACAAAUAUUUACAUUCAUUAAAGCCAAUUUCACUUUGUGUUUCAGGGUGCCUUUGACGUUCUUACUCAGGUUUCACAAACUCAUGAUGUGAUCAUGUAAGCUUUUGUAUUCCUUCAUGGUUGAUCUUUACAUAGUGUCUGUCUUCAAUUUAUUCAAGAUUUCUUGGUAUUUCUUUUUUUUUUUGAUUGUUAUGAGCUCGUCCACUCAAACUUUUUGUGUUGAUACAAUUGUGCAUGCACGGUUGGCUCUUUAGGACCUUGGAUAGAACGAUCUCUACCCUAGAAAUGCAACUGGCAUCAGCUAGAUCUGCUCAGGGGAGUAGCUGGAACCAAUCUCCGGCGUCAGUGAAACAAGGAGCCAACAAACCAAAGCAGCGUAACAAGGCAUUUUUUGUAAUGGGAAUCAUUACAGCAUUCAGCAGCAGAAGGAGGAGGGACUCCAUUAGGCAGACCUGGAUGCCCCAAGGUGCAUGCCUUUCUUAUUCAUCGACAACGUGCCAUCAUGAGGUACAAUUUUCUUGUCAUUUUGCAUCUCUGAUUUAUAGAUUAUUUCUUAAACUUCCAGGGGAAACUUUGUGGAAACUGGAGGUUGAGAAAGGAAUUAUCAUGCGAUUUGUUAUCGGGCACAGGUAGUAUCUUCUUCAUUUCUUGCAUUUUGGAUCGAUGCUUCAUUAUACUACUUAUUGCAUCUUAAUGCCUCGCUGACUUUUGCACUGUAGUUCAACCCCCAAAGGCGUCCUUGAUCGUGCUAUUGACGCUGAAGAAGAACAGUAUCAUGAUUUCCUGAGAUUGGUAUCCCACAGGGCCUGCAAUCUUUGUCCCUCAACUCUCUGUUCUGGGAUGCCACCGCAGUCUUCAUGACACGAUCCUGGGUUCAUUCUGUGCAGAACCACGUCGAAGGGUACCAUGAGCUAUCGACGAAGACCCAGAUAUAUUUUUCAACGGCUGUUGAAAAAUGGGAUGCUGAUUUCUAUGUAAAAGUCGAUGAUGACAUCCAUGUCAACCCCGGUUAGCUAUCACGCUCAUCUUUGGAUUUGACUUUCUAGAAGAUGGCUUUACCAACUCUUUAACAGGUGUGAUUAGCUCCACACUGGCCCGCCACAGAUCAAAGCCACGGGUUUACAUCGGCUGUAUGAAGUCAGGCCCUGUUCUAGCACAGCAGUAAGACCCACAAAUCUAUAUGCGGUCUUCUACCUGAUUCACAAUUUUGCUGAAGAACACUGGAGAAGAUACCCUUGUUGAGUUUCUGAGAUCGUUCGUCUCUUCUCUCUUCUGUUCUACAGAGGGGUCAAGUACCAUGAGCCUGAGUACUGGAAGUUUGGAGAGGCAGGCAAUAAGUACUUCAGGCACGCCACUGGGCAGCUCUACGCCAUCUCCAAGGACCUGGCCACGUACAUAUCGGUGAACAGGUAAUGGCUGCCGCGGCCGUAUACCGUGAGAACUUGUGCUCUUGCUGUGGCUCCUGGUCAUCUCCCCCUCUUUCGUUUCAGACACAUUCUUCAUAGAUACGCAAAUGAAGAUGUCUCCCUGGGUUCAUGGUUCAUCGGCCUAGACGUGGAGCACAUUGAUGAUCGGAGCCUCUGCUGUGGGACCCCACCAGGUCUGGCUUUCUUAGAACCAAGCUCUCUGUGUUCCAUGGAAAUUUGUUUCUUUCGCUUGAUUAUCCGCACGAUGAUCAACCUUCUGUCCUCAUCAAGGAAGAUACCUCGAAAACGAGGCCCAUUAAUGGGUCAGCGCCAUCAUAGCCUGUCCCCUCUUUAGCCACCAGGUGGGCCUGUUUUCCUUCUUAGCUGCGUACUGGGAACUUCAUUGUACUGCUCUAUCUGCAUCCAAAUGAAGUAAGUUACCUUGAAAAGUAAGGGUGGCCCAGGACCGCCAUAGCCAGGCUCGACCUGAUCAAUUCUAUUUUUUCCUUCCGAACUUAGCUUUCACCCCAAGCUUCUAGGUUUAACCAGCUCAUCUAAAGCUCUUAGUACACACUGAAAGCCGAGCUAUGUGGGCGGCCUGAAUCAUUCCUGUAUACGUCUCUGUUCCAUCUCUGGUUCUUUGCUUGAGCUUCUUCUAUGGUAGACUGCACCCCAAGCUUCUGGGGUUAACCAGCUCAUCUGGGCUCUUAAUAUGAACUGAAAGCAGAGCUAUGUGGGCAGCCUGAAUCAUUCCUGUGUACUGCUCUGUUCCAUCUCUGGUCCUCUGUUUGAGCUUCUUCCAUGGCAGACUGCGAGUGGAAGGCCCAGGCGGGGAACCCUUGUGGCGCGUCCUUCGACUGGAGCUGCAGCGGCGUCUGCAAGUCGAUCGAGCGGAUGGAGGAGGUCCACCAGCGCUGCCAGGAGGACGACGGCGCCGUCUGGCACGCCGUCUUCUGACCCAUCCUCCCAGUUUUGGUCGUUUACUUUCACUGGAAAAUGGCUCCUUCAUGCCCGGGGGAAGAUCGCAAGUUCAAGCCCGCCGAGCCCCAUCAGCUCCAGUGACCGUUGGUAAUGAAAUCCGAUUUUGGCUUCUAUUUUCAACGGUCGACUCUUUGCGGAAUAAAAAAGAUAAGGUUAUUUGCUCUUUGCUCCCCCUAAAUUCACCAAAUUAUCGCCAUUCGCCCCACUUUAUUAUUAUUAUUAUUUAAAAUUAUCAUGCCAUAAAUCAGAUAUAGAAAAAAAAUAUUUUUUCUUCUCUUCCUCCGUCAGCUCCAUCUGCUGGCAGUGGGCCCCAUGCUGGGUCCUUCUGGUUCCGUCUCCUCUCACUAAACGGGAGGUGGAGGGAGAAAGGGCCAUCCAUCGCUGUUUUAUUGGAGUAAAAGAAGAGAAUAUAAUCUCCUAAAAGCUGAGUACGAUGGUUAUAGAUGAAGAGGGGUUUUUUUGCUAAUUGAGCAUGUUCUGGAGGAGUUAAUACCAAAUGCCCGAAAAUAAAUGCCAUUAUACACAAAAGCCGAAUCCCACAUGUAAGCAUGACGGCAAUGGGACAGAACAGACCCGACAGGUAGAUUAAACAAAAGCCCCUCAUUAAAUACAUAUUACAAAAAAUAAUCACAAUACAUGCUUAGUUUAUUCAAAUAACCGAAAUUGGGUGGUAAACGAAUACAGAAGAUCUGACAUGGGUUUGGGGUUGACGGGGAGUUGGCAAAAUAUUCGAGGGUUUUAGUUUAUUUAAAUAUUCGCAAGGGAUAAAACUUCAAAUAGUCUGUGUUGUGGGCGUAACCGGUCGACAACUGGACCGGCCCAAUAAGGGGGUACAAGAGUAAUUAAACGGAAGGUCUGAGACCGCCUUCGGUCUCCUCGUGUCCCUCCCUCCCUCUCUCCCGCUGUUUCUUCUUCCUCGUCGCCGUGCUCCAGCUGAGCGUUGCUCCCCUUCCUCUCCCCCCCGCCCCCGCGCCAUUACCGGCCUGGGCUGGGACUCCAGUCCCAGAUGGUCCCAUGGGGAGGUAGUGCCAUCCCCGGGGAUUGACCGCCUCCUUUGUCUUGCUUUCCAUUCUGUGCGAGUGGCUGCAUGAUGCGUCGAUCUCUGGUUCUGUUGGACACCGCGGGUUAAGCUCUUGGUUGAAGCAGGAGGUCUCAAAACCGCCUUGGGCUUCCUGUAAUCGCCUCUUCUAUAUAUUAUUCUUCUUCGCUCCCCUUUUCCGGGCAUGACUUUGGCUAGGAAUUUAUUCUCUGCCAUUGGUAUGGUGCUUCCGAGGAUGGCCAUGGCUGGCCGCUGCCACCCCUAAGGUUUCCUCAUUUCAUUGGCUUCAUCUCUGUGGGAGAGGCCAUGUUUGAGGGGUUCGUCAGCCAGGUUCUGGCUGGGUAUCUUGGCCGUUAUGUCAAGGGUAUCCAGAAAGAUCAGCUCAAGAUCGGCAUAUGGAACGGUAUGCCAUCCAUAACCCCUCCCUAGUGUGUUAAAAUUCUUCUAUUGAAAAUCCUGCUGCCCGGAAACAUCUCUCAUUCUUCUUCUGCUACCUGUAACCCCUCCCUCGUAUGUUCAAAUUUAUAUAUUGAAGCUCCUGCUGACCGGAAGCGAUAUCUCAUUCGUCUUCUUCUUCCCAUCAUUAUCAUAUCUGUGAUAAAUUAAUUUCCUGAACAAUAGUAUUUAUUAUUCCUGGUUCACUGUGAGUCUUCUAGUCAUCCCUCUCCCCUACUUUGAUGCAGUUACAAGAUAUUAUACCUUUGAAGUUUUCUCAUCUUCAUUACUCAUUCAAUUUUUCGAACCAGAUAAAUCUCAGUAAAAUACCAUGGUGCGGUUGUAUCUGGAGAAUUGCGCUCUAGAUCAGUGUCCGAUACACUUUAAUUUGAUCUAUGCUAUUUUUUUUCCGAUCAGAAAAGUUGUUUUCUUCUGGGGAGAUAAUAUUUUCGUAUUAUUCCUAAGGUCUGUGCAUAGAUUUUGAUAGGUUGUUUUCUUAACCAUACUGAUCCAGCUUCAUGGUCAUCUCAUUGUCAUUACAUUAGGAAAAAUUGCAAAUAUUGUCAGGUGUUAUUGAUUUCCAGAAAUUUUAAGUCUGUAUAAUAGAUGGUUUCCACGCAUUUGCCAAUAUCUACAGACUCUAAUAUGGUCGUCUAAUUUGCGUCAGUCCUUUCCCACUCAAUGCAAAAUUUACUCCUGCAGCGCCUCAUUUUCUACAUAUAGUUUUCCCCAGAAAGUCAUGUGUGUUUGUGUGUGGGGACGGGGGCUGUUGGGUCUGGGGGGAGGGCUCCAAAUGGACAUCGCCCACGUGCUGGAUAUACGCCUUGUUUACACGAAGGAAGCUACAUUCUCUCUUUUUAGGAAAUAACCUCCUGAAACCAAUCGAUUUCCUUCAAAAUGCUGUGGGAUGUGACUAUUGGGAGAUUGAAAGAGUCUCCAGAAUGUAGAGUUAGUCUAAGUCCCAAACAUUGAUUGGAAGAUUAUAGAACAAUGUAUGGAUGAAAAUGAAUUAUGGAUGGAACUUUGCACGGAGUAUUUUGUUGUGUGUUCGCAGAUAUUUAGAUCCGGUAUCCUUGAUUUCCAACGUUGUAGACGAUUUUAUUCUUGAAAAUAAACGUUUUUUUAGUAAUGUCUACUUACCCUGGAUCCGGAUAUUCAAUUUACUGUUGAAAAUGGACAUUCCUGAAAUGUAGAUUCUGUAUCAUUUUUUGAAUAAUGUUCAUCUUAUCGUAAUGUCUAUUGACCCUCGAAUUUUGUGCUACUUUUUCUUGUUGAAGUUUAAUUUUUUCUCCUGUGAAGGGAAUUUUCUCCCAUAUGAUCGUCUGUGUGAUAGAAAGAGAACAUUAUUACGGUUCUCUCCAUUUUUGUUUUUGAUUUUAUCCAGGGCUUGACAGGAUUGUUCCUGGAUGGUUGCCAUUGAAUUUUAAGUUCCUUUUAGAGCAGGGGCUAAUUUUGUUUUUUAUACUUGCAGAAGAAGUUUUAUUGGACAAUGUUGAACUCAUUCUUGAGGCUUUUGACUAUCUCCAGCUGCCUUUUGCAUUAAAGCAAGGUAAUGCUAUCUAAUCGUGACUUUAAAAUUUUAUUGCUGGUUUUCGAUUUAUAAAACAUGAAUACUGAAUACAUACUUGUCCUGUCCAUCUUAAUAGUCUACGUAGGUUUAGUAAUUUGAACUGUUAUUUUUUGUGUGUCUCUUACAGAGUUUUAUGCUCUUCUUUUUAUCUAGGGCGCUAUAUUAUACAGCUGAUAUAUUUCAAGUUCAAAAACAAUGUAUGAUAUAGAGUAUUUGAUAACUUUUUUUCUUGUAGAAUCGAAAAACAUGUGAUGUCUACAAGAGUGUGUAGUUAUGUUGUAAAGUGCCUCUAAUUGGGAGCAACUGUGAUGGCUAAAUUCCCAAAUCUUCACUCCCCUUCUCCCAUGAUGCAAAACAAGAUUGCAGCAUGGAAUGUCCAAGUGGUACAUCUCAAAAGGCUCAAAAUAGUAGAAACUUGGAGGGCUCAAAUAGGCUCGCCUAGGUAGCCCGUUAGACCAAAACCGUGUUUUUUUUAAGUGGAGCUUUAAUAUGCGUUUCCUUUAAUAGAAGGUCAACUAUGUUUUGUAAUCAUUUCUUUUCAUGUAGAAUAAAUAAAUGUUGUUAAUAGAUUCUACUAUUUUGGUAUUCUUUGGCUUCUUCUGGACUAUUUAUAGAAGCCCAUACUAUAUGACAGAUGACGUUUUCCUUUAUAGUAGUUUUUUCUUUCUUUCUUUCUCUUGAGCAUUGAGGUUCUACAUCUUAUUUCUUAUGGAUUCAAGGCUUAUAUAUAUCACUUUUUAUAUAUUUAAGGUUCGAUUUCACCCCUUCGUGUGCUUCCACUACGCCAUCCCACUUUAACUACGUUUUGCCUUUCCCCUCCUUUUCCUCCUAUCUGACCAUGUUUCUUGAGAUGCUGUUGAUGGCAUGUUUUAUACCAUUAUUUUUAUCUUCUGGAUUUAUUUAUUAACAGCAGCCUCUUGCAGCUUCAUCUGAAAGAAUGAUCGUGCUUUAUCUCUAUUCACUUCUUGUUUGGGUGAUCCUAGGUCACUGAUACAUGGAACUUGCUGUAUAUCUUUAUUUGAAUCGUGCCAUCUUACGGAUUGAAACUUGAAUAUUUAGAUCUUUCAAACAAAUAUUCCUCGCAGGUCUUCAUUUUUUCAAGAGUUCUAUGUUUAACGUAUUUAAUUUCAAGAUGUGAAUCUCACAUUAUGAAGUGAUUUACAUAAUCAUCACACACAUAGUUCUUCUGGUACACUCUAUUUUUGGAUUCAAUUAGUGCAUUCGAUAGCAUUUCCAGUCUAUACUUGAUUUUCUGAACAUCUGUACGGAUGAAUCUGCGUACUUUAGUUGAUUAUUGAUGCUGAAACUCCGUUGAUAAUUAUUCAUACCUGAUAUGCAACACAGCCAUUACAAGCAUGUCUGAGAGAUUUAUGAUAACUAUGAAUAGCUUCAUGAAGACAUAGAUUAAGAGUUUAUUGCUUUCUAUCUGGAAAUUUCUUUGUUUCAUGUUUUCAAAACUCAUUGUUUCUUAUUCAUUACAUUUGAUUUCUUUGUCAGGAAAAAUCGGGAAACUAAGCAUCAAAAUCCCUUGGAAAAAACUUGGCUGGGAUCCUAUUGUCAUCGUAUUGGAGGACGUCUUCUUUUGUGCUUGUUCACGUGGUAGCCAUGAUGUAUGCUCAAUCUUGAUAAUUUCACACAAAGUUGGAGCUGUUUUAAUUAGCCGACUGGAGAAUAUUGAUUUUUAAUUCAUUUGAGCAAGUUAAGUGGAUUCUGUCUAAAAUUCUUUCUCUUUCUUAAAUAGUGGAGUUUGGCUUCUGUGGAGAAGAGAGAAUUAGCUGGGAAAAUGGCAAAGCUCAAUGCAGCAGAAUUAGCCAAGUUUUCUAAGCGUGUCUAUGGUGGGUUUGCCAAGAAAACAUUGCUUUUUUUUACCUGGUUUUCAGAAUGACCUGGCCAACUUUUGCUAAUUUCAGAGUGCUUUUGUGUAUCAUAUUCGUAGCAGUUGACUCUGUAUCUGAUUUGAUGUUUUCUGUCACAAGUUUACAUCUUCAAAUUAUGUUGGCGUCAGUAUUUGUAGUCAUUUGAGCAGUUGCUCGCCAAAAGCUUUAUAUUUUUCACAUUUGAGAUUAGUAUAAGUCAUCUUUAUGGUUGUAUUUGUUUCAUAUUGAGGUAUUUUUCGAAGGAUUUUUACAUUUGCCUUCUAAGCUAAGUUUUUCUUCAUCACUACUUAAUUUGUACGGGGAUGCUAUCCAGCUGCAUCCUUCUGAGAGAAUCUCUUUUUUGGUUCUGUACACAGGACUAGUUAAAAUUAGAAUUUUGUUGUCCAAAUUUGCAUUCAUGUAACAAAUUCGAUUUCAAUUUCUUAAUAAAUAGAAUCCGAUAGCGGCUUCAUUAAUGUUUGUAGGAAUACUUGAAGAAUAAUGCCACACAGGUGCUUGGGUGAAAGGGAAGCUAAAGUUGGUUUCCAAGGGCAGAAGUAAACCAUCUGCACUGAAAAAUUGAUACUCAGCGUCAGGUCAAGGAACUAGAAACUAGUUUCCUGCACUGGUCCUGGUCUGCUGUGGUUCUAGUUAUUUAACAGUGUGGGAACUAUCUGAUGUUGUCUGUAUUUUGGCUUUAGGUUUGAAUCAAACUGUUCAGUUCUACUUCCUUCGUGUUCCUGUUGAUUCCAGCUGUUUCUCCGUAUGGCUAAACUUUAGAAAGUUCCAUUUGUUUUAUCUGGGCACAGGUCAUUUUUCAAUGCCUUGAAUCAGCUGCAAUUUAACCUGUUUGCUGCAAAUGGAAAGGUGGAAUCUUUUCAUAUAUCCCGUAAAGGGCCUGCAAUGUACAUUGAUAUUUGAGAUGCCUUUACCUGUUUGAGAGUGAUCUUCUAUAUUACUCUCUUCUUUUCAUAAUUUACCAAUGUGGAGAUCAAGAGCUGUGUUUUCUUUUUCUUGGCCACCUCAAUCUUCUGCAACCUUUUCCUUGGCAUUUCAUUCCACUCGUUCCUUUAAUGAUUGUUGAAGAUUUGAACCUUUGACGAGGUGUUUCUAUUUUUAGAGAUAUAUUUUUUUCCUUUCUUUUUUAAAAAGUUCAAGAUUGUACAAGGUUGUUAUUGGUAUUCGUAAAUUAGAACAGUAUUUUCACUCUUGUUUUAACUUACAUUCGAAAGAAUUUUUUUCCUAUGGUAAUUUACUGCGAACCCUGUUCUUAUUCUUGUUAUUUUCAUUGUAGGCAAUCAAGUUGGCCAGUCUUUCUUUGCUAAGGUAAAUUGUGAUACUCGUUACACUUUCGCAGAAAAAUAUUUGCUGCAUCUAUCCUCUUUGAAUAGUUUGGUAUCACAUAGUGGCAAUAUGAAUUCUUACGUUCUCCAUAAUCAUUCCUAUCUGAAGAUUCUUUCAUCUUUGAUAAAGAAGGGAAAAAAAAGAAGAAAAGAAAAGGUUCUACACGGAAUAAAUGAAGAAUGUCUGCAUGUGAGAAUUUAUUUGUAAAGAAAUUCUUAAUACUAACUUCUGAGAUAAAUAUACGGCCACUAUGUGUACAUAAGCAGGGGUCUUUAAUGAGGCCACUGUGUACAUAAGCAGUGAUUAAAAAAUGAGACAUAUUAUAAUUACUACCUGUCAAGCUUUGUCAAUGUAGUGUUUGAACAAUCUCGAGACAGUGCCUUAAUGAAGAUAUCUAUUGGAAGAUCUUUUGAAUAAUGUUGGGCGGACACAACUUGCAUGUAUCAAGCUUAUCUCUGAUGCUAUGAGGAAGAAUCUAUGUUUAGCAAGCUUAUCUCUGAUGCGGGGUUGUUGGCAAUGCCAAAUAUAAUCUGCUGUUACAGUACAUUUUAGUGUAGCUUAUCCGUGACACUCAGUUCCUGAAGAAGAAUAUUCAACUGUAGUGUGACACUUGACUGUGAGCCAUUCCCUGCAUUCUACUUCAACACUUAGACCCGUGCAGGCCAAACCUGCUUGUUGCUUGUCUAAGGUUCCUUGCUCUACUGUUGAUCUCCUAUCUUCACAAGCACCUUUCUAACAAGUACAUUCUUCAACCUAGAGGUCUUCAUUCUUGGUGUAGCACCUACCUCUUUGUCGAGAACCUUUGAGAUACCAAAUAAUUUAUCCUUAGCGUUCAUGAGAGCAUUUUUAGGAGUAAUCAUGAAUUAAUUAACUGUAAUAGUGGGACAUAUUGAAUCAGGUUUGAUUAGAGUUAUGAUGAAACAUUUUACACUGGGCAUUGAUAUUACUAUAAGAAGCACUGGUGACGACUUAACUUCAUUUCAAAAAUUCUUUGCCAAGUUAACUUUCAGAGGAGGAUCUUGUCUCUUACCAUUUCUAAGCCAUGGACAUAAAAUGAUGACUUUCCCAUUUGCUACUUUUCAAACAAGCCGUGAUUGUUAUUACUUUGCUAGUGGUGAAAAUGAACCAUAGGUAUUAUGAACAAUUUUAAACAGGCCUUGGGUGAAUUGCUUCAAGUCUGUACAAUAUUUUCUUUUGCUUACACUCUUCAUUGUUUGUUAUAUAACUCGGAAGACACUGCAGAUACGAUUCCCACGGUUAAUAUUUGUUCUGUGAAAGGAAACAUUUUUUGACAUAAAGUUAGUUUAGAAUCUAGGAGUACAAGUAUAAAUUCAAUGAUGCUUCUUAUUUACAUCAGGUUCUGCUGGAGCACUAUUGUUUCUUGAUUGUCUAUUUCAUGAGUUAUGAGUGAAUGUAUUUCUUGUAAUCGAUGGUAAACGCUUUGUUAGAUCCAAAAUCAUAUUCCUUUUUUUUAUCCCCUCAUCCAUUGCACGAGAGAAGUGGGGAUUUAAGAUGAAUAGAAGAGAUGUCAUAAAGAACGAUAGAUGGACGAAAUGUGAGUGUAAAACGUACAUUUGCAUGUACGAUAUAUGUUGCGUUCUAUGGUUUUCUUUCUGAUGGCGAAUGAUAAAAUAAGUUAAGGUUCUAUUUAAGAGGAUUCAUGUGGAAUUGAAGUGUCUACAUCUUCUAGAGAGAUAUCGGCUGAGUAAUUACUGUCUUACUCAAUCAGAGUAAGUGAGCCACUCCAUUUCAACUAUGGUAGCAUUAGCAUUAUAAUUUGUAUCAGACAAUUCCGUGAGAGUCAGCAAUAUAUCAAGAUCGGAAUAAACAAGAAUGAAAACAAUCUCCUGAUGAGAAUGAAUAUAAGACAAAGACUUUGGGAAUAUCCCUUGAGACUUAAUGCUUCCUUGUGUUUGUAUUUUGCCUCGUAUUUUUUUCUGUUUGGAAAAUUAUAAUGUUUGGAGAAUUUUUUGUUGAUAAUUAUAUGCAUUGAACUAAGGAUCAACAGUUUUUUUUUGCUAUUUAAUUGUGGAGGAGAAGUUCCUAAUUCUCAGUUUUUCUCCUUUUGCAGAUCCUUGACAACAUCCAAGUAUCCAUAAAGAAUGUUCAUAUUGUGUAUAUUGACGCACAUGCUGAUCCGGUAUAAAAUUCAUUCACAAUCUUCCUUUUUUGAUUGGUUGAUGUUCAUUGAAAUGAAUAGUUACCCUAUUAUUUUAGUUAAAUAUUAUUUUUUCUUUUUCCUCCUGUUGAAUGCAGUUUCGUUUAUACUGAAUAUUGUACCUCUGUGUGGUUAAUUUUCACGUUAAAAAUUAUUCUUAUUUUGAGAUUUAUUUUAUUCUUUUCAAUGAAAUGUAGUUCCUGAAUCUAUGAGUUGAAAAAUCCAUGACAUGUGACUUAGUUGUUUUCAUAUAUGGGUUAUGAUUGACCAAUGGCCGGUAGGAUGGAUGUUACGAAUGAAAACUUUUCCUUCUUUGUUUACUUAUUUUUGAAAAAAAAAUCGUCGGUGCACGCAUAACAACACUGCAGGCAUGGAUAUGUGUUUGUUAGUCAAAUGGUACAGUAAGAGUCACCCUUCUCUGUUCAUAGAAACGUAGGGAGUCUCAAAUGAUUUCAUGUUUUUUAUUUUUAUUUUGCAGAAAAUGAAUAGAAAUGCGUAAUGAUCAUCCAUCGCUAUCAUGAGCUCAUUCUAAAACACAGUUGGUGCCGUCCAUGGCAUCCUUUAUUUUUUCUUGUCAGAGUUUUCAACAUUAUUUUUCCAAUUUUUUUCCAUACAAUUAUGCUCAUUAAGACUCAUUCCAAUUUUUUUUCCAAGUAUGAAUUAUUAACUGAAAUAGUAUGAUAUUGAGGUUAAAGCGUAGAUGCAAGGGUAGCUUGAUUAUUGGGAUUGUAGACUUUUUUCAGAAAAUUCAUACCCUUGACCUUCCGAUAGUGUUAAAAAAAAGAUGUGGCCAAUUUUUUUGGCAUUUGAUGGUGACAACAGAGUCUUGGUAUAAAAAGAAGACCGCAAUAAUUUGCGGAGUACAUGUUUUCUUUGAAAGUGAUUCAUACAAGAUGAAUCUUCGAACACCAUACUGGGUGAUAGAGGGAAGGCAUUUGGUAGACAUUGGGCAAGGUCGAAGUAUCUGGGUGCUAAGUAGUAAUGAAUAAAUUAACAUACCACUUUAGAUGUACAGUGUGUGGCAACAUAGGUUACUAUCGUGAACAGUGGCGCAAACCCUAAGAGAAUAUGCAGAGGGAAAAACUCUUCUCUUUUUCACAUCAUAGAUGGCUGUUAAUACAAGUACCAGGGGAACAAAACAAGGAAACUACCUAACUAGGAAACAGACAAAAUUGGGAAACGGUCCAACUAAGAACAUAACUCCUAAUUAUAUGCCCUUUUCUACUGUUAGAUCACUGAGUUCAAAUGUUGUAAUCAGAAAAAACCAGCCUUGUCUAUCAACGAACAAAAUAGGAACAAAACACUGCAUUUCUCAAAAAAUAAUGCCAUGAGAUCUCUACGAGUGUCUUAAAUUGGUAUGCCACGUGAAAAAAAUAGUACAUGAGAUCUUUUAUGGAAUUGCUAAACAGAUUGUAAAAUAUUGCUACAAAUUGUUCAAUAGUGUUUCAUAGAUAGAGAUAUUCUAUUUUUCACAUUUUUUUGGGUGAAUAGCCCAUAUCUGUUGUUGGAUCAAGUCACUAUGAGAUUUAUAAUGUAGAUAUUUACGUAUCAGAAUUUUCCUAAGAAAUUUUGAUGAAUCUUAACUUUUCUUUGAUGCUAGAUCUUACUGUCUGAGCAAAACAGUAACUAUGGUGUCUCUGUUGAAAUGUGUGACAUGAAAUGUUUCUUGCAAUGUAACCUUUUCUAUAUUCCACCAUUUAUCUUUUCUUUAGGUAUGCUGAAAUGGAUUAAAUGUACCGAUUUUUUAUUUGUGGUAAACUGGUUUCCAGUCUGGAUCAGUGGUUGUACUUUUCCUAUUUGAUUGACACUAUGUUGACCUUAUGGAAACUACAAUGACAUUAUGAUUGUAUUUAAACAACGAAUAUUUGAUUGCUUUUUCUUGUGCAAUACUUGUAGUUUAGGCAUUUUCUUUUGAAGUAUUGUGCUUUGUGGAAUGAUGUAUUUAAUUUUAACGAGUUAGUUUCCUUAUUGUUUUUCCAGGAGAUGUUCAUUUUUGGUUUAAGAUUUUCAAGUUUGACGAUAAUGACUGACACACGAAAACAGAAUUCCAUUGGGUGAGUGAAUAACAGUUCAUCUAUCUCGGUUGAAAUUUAACUUAUUUGAUAUUUGUUUUUGCAAAUGCUUGAUUGGGUCUUGUAGUCAGUUUAUCAUUAUGACUCGUUUUUUCGGUCCUGAGGUAAUGAUUUUUUAAUCUGUAUCCUUAUGUCCUUAAAAAAUUGUUGUGAUUAUCUUCAUGAAUUUAUUAUUGAGAUUUAAACAUUCCACUUUCUCUCAGAUCGUCAUAUGGGAAAUUUAAAGGUGGCCAAGUAAAGAAGAUUCUUAAGAUAUCAACUUGUGGCAUCUAUUGCAACUUGUUUGAGAAUAACAUUAGCCUUGAGGACGAUCCCAUCUUCACAUUGUGCUACGAUUCAAAGUUUGAGCCUAAGAGAUAUGAUUACCUUAUAAAUCCAUUUGACUUGACAGUCUCUUUACUGGUAUGUUGUCUUGGCGUGACUAUUUCAUUUCGUUUCUUCUAUAAUGCUUCAUUAUCUUUUUGUAUUCUUGUUGUAAUACUGACAACUGACAACCUGCUAAUUAUAAGAUGUUUUAGAAAGUUAGCUAAGUCAAUUUAAGAAGAAGAAGUAAUGUCCGACACAAUUGGUUAUAGUUGCAUGUAUAUUUUCCCCAAGUUAGGGUAAUUUUUUUAGGAAUGUAGUUCUUAUUUCUCCUUUCUGGCGUUUGUCUGUUGAGAUUUUCCUGUCGGGUUAGGAAAAUCUCAAAAGAGGUUUUCUUUCCCUGGGCUUUUACCUUGUAGAUUAGGUAAUCAGAGUGACUUCUUUCCGUUGUGGCUCAAAGACAUAAUGCGUAUAUGAGUGAUGGCAUGAAGGUUUUCUAAUUGUGUCAGACAAGGAUCUUUUCAAAAAAUAGGAUGCAAAACCAGCAACAAUAAACUAUCCAUGCUAUUGAUGAGGUUUGUGGAAGGCCAGUUAACGUUAAAGUCAAAUACACACAACAACCUUAACUAUAUAUCCCGACUCUAGUGAGCUCCAGCGACGAAGAUGACACUAUGGGGGAAGAAAAAUAUGAUUUUUCUGUUGGAAUGGGAUUUAAUGGUGUUCAAUCAGAGCAAAGCAUAGUUCAGUACGAUAAUGUCUUCAAGUUGAUGGUUUAACUUCCUACAUUCAAUGGCCGCCUCCAGAUUGAAGAUUUCAUGAAUUUGUUGCUUGAGGUGUUCUGACAAUGGAGAUUCUCUAGGAGAGAAAGUAAAGUUGGUGGCUUACAAGCUAAAAGGAGGUUCUCAUAGAUUUUGGUGAAGAGUCUUAUGUUAGGUAUAAAUAUUUGGUGGCAGAACAUAAAGUGUGGUGGGAAUAAAAAUUGCACGCACCACAACGGGACACUGGAUUUUGGAAAUGGUUUGGUUAAUCCCAAACAUAAUCCUCUUCUCUAUUCUCCACGACUAUUUUCUCUUGGUACCUUUUAGGCAUUGGACCAAGGUUGUUUUCUCAAGGUAUCCCCUAAACCCUUCAAGCAUUAAUCAUUAGCAGUGUUUUGUAAAAUAUAAGGAAAUAGGGGGCCUACAAAUCUUUCAAGUAUUGGUGAGGACAUUGUGGUAGCCUUGGAGUAGUUGACUUCGAUGGAAACUUCUUGGAGCGUAUGAACGUGAAAAAGAUGACUUUAGAGUUUUGAAUGUAGAUUAUGGAAUCUUGUCAAAAUUCUCCAGCUCUUGUUCUUUAUGGCCUUAUAUCUCUAAGUAGUCAUUACCAAGAUUUAUUCCUCAAAUGGGUAAUUUUCUUUUUCACGUUCGUUUGUUAUUUUCAGACAUCUUACUGUUUGAAAACCAAAUUGUCAAUACUUUAGUUAUAAUUUUUCAACAGUCCUUGGAGCGCACAAACUUGAAAAUGAUAUCUUCUAGAUCUUUGAAUUUAGAUUAUAUUUCUUGUUCUUUUAUAACCCUUAAUCUCAAACCAGUCAUUACCAAGAUUUCUUCCUCAAAUGGCGUUUUCUUUUUUUAUGAUUGUUAUUUUGAGACAUUUUAGUGUUUAAAAAGCAAAUUACCGAUGCUUUUUCGUGUCUAUUUUUCAUUCUUCGUAGGUGAUGACUAUUUUGAGCUUUAGGUUUAACAUCUAAGUUGUUGGAAUCAAACCCCGUGUUUCAUGACCUUUGCUUUGGUUUUAAAUCUGUUAACAGUGAGUUCAUGAGUCAACAGCUGAGUUUUGAUCCAAGUUUUUAUCCUUUAUAAAAUUUGCAUAUAUUGUCGUGUAACGUUGGAAUAUCAAUGCUAAUCCUCUAGCCUUCAUUUCUUGGCCAGUUUUGGGUUGGAAAGCUUUUAUUUCUUUGCUUAAAUCUUUAGCAAAAAAUUAACACAAAUCAAUAUCAACAUUGAGGCGUUGCAGUCAUUGAAAUUAGUCUAUUUGGUUCAACGGUUAGGAAUGACUUUGGCUUAUGUGUGCUAGAAGGAGUAAUGUAUUAAUUUUAUAAUAGUAAAAAAUGAAGCAAUGUGUGAGUUCAACUACUUUCAAGAGUUUACGAAUGGGUUCUUACGUUAACGAACAACGUCAAGGUUUUAGGCCAGGUAGGUUCAUGGUAUAUUUAAGAAUAUGCUGCCGAGUUUUUCAAACUCUUGAUUGAGGCUCUGAAAGGGCGCCACCAAUAUUAUUCAAUCAUACACAGUUGUUGUUCAAGAGAAAAUGGUAGUUGAAGAUGUUUGGUAUUUGAAUGAAGCUAUGCACCUGGCUUCUAAACAAGCAUCCAAGCAACACAGUCCAACAAAACUCCUAUACUCAUCUAGAAAGAUGUUAAAUAGGUUAAAUAAACAAAGGUAAAAUACAUUGAAUAUCUUAAUUUACCCUGUUCACUAGAAUCAGAUCAGUAUUGUUCCUAAUCUCCGUUCUUUUUUGGGAAUUAAUGACUACGCUAAAUGCCAUGCAAAUCUUGUAAUUUUGAUAGAAAUCUUCGCAUAUCCGCCCCCCCCAACCCCACAGUAUAUCAGUGGAGACACUGCCACACCAUUCAAGCUCAGUGAGAAAAUUCUACUCCCUCUUCUAUAAGACCGUGUAGUGCUAGACUGUGCAAUCUAAAGUGCGAUUGAAGAUAUAAUCAAAAAAAGGUUUCGCACAAGUAGAUAUUAGUCUUUGUUCUGUCCAUACUUAACUACCAUCCGAAAAGGAUGGUAAUUAGAAGAUAUAUGUGGACCGUUGAGUUGUAAACAAGCUCAUGAUAAAAUGAAGAACCAAUGACAAGGUUGGAUGACAUGUUGUAUAUUUUUUAAGGCCCAAGAUCUGUUGAUUAAAGUAGAGAGGAUUGCUUCCUUUGAAGCUUAACGGAGAACGUCAGGUUUCUACUGCCAGUGACUUACUAAAUCGAAGAAAAGUCUCUACUUAUGUAUUUGAGCUCUAUAAAAUGAUGAAAGCUUUUAAGCACUGUAAGCGUUACGAAGUCAGAGUUUUCUCUGUACAAUGACCAAGUAUUUUAUUUUCUUAAUAAUCCGAACAUUAUAAACUUGUACUUCAUGCCUUUUUCAGGAAUUCCAAUUAUGUCAAAACAUAAAUCUGGGAUUCAAAACUAGGUAGUUAACACGUUAAGCCGGAAUGGCAUUGCUAGAAACUUUGAAACCGUAGGUGGUACAUUUUUGAAUGCCCUAGAGAUCUUCAUGGUUUUUAUUUUGAUGUACAAGUAAUUUCGGAUAAAUCUAAAAAUUGACAUCACAUUAUUUUUGUUCUUCAACAUGGCAUUCUUAGGCAAUUCACGUUGUCCCAAGAUGUUCUUUAGCAGAAAAAAUCAUGAGUGAGUUGGAUGGUGGAGGCAGAUAAAACCAUUCGUUGGUCCACUUAAAGUGAGAUGUGAGCAGGUUUGUGGAAAGAUGGUAGAUAUGCGUAACCACCCAAAAUGCAGAAUUGCAUAUGCCACUUCCGGUUCCUGUUUUACAUGAGAAAUUUUUUUUUAUCUCUCCUUUUGAGUUAAAAUUGCAUACGUUUCAAAGGCACAAUAGUCCAGCGUUAUUUUAUAGUUGACUUCAUUUUGUAGAUACAUUUUAUCAGCUGUAGGAAGAUGGCCUAUGUUACUUACGUGGCUAAUGUAUUCUUCUCAGAAGUGGUUUGGCUGCCCAAAAUUUGUAUACGCAUCACCUCAAACUGUGACACUAUGUUCCAUACUUCUGGAUGAUUUUACUUAAUAGUAUCCUCUCCAUUUGAUUUACCAUUUAAUCCAAAUUUGUUUCUCUUCAUGUUGGGAACGAUCAUAAAGGAAUUUCUAUUUUUAAUUUUCUACACUUUUUCCCUAUUCACUGUGGCAUUAUGUUUAUGCAUCCAAAAAUUCGUUACACAACCUAGUUUUUUUGUAAUCAUGUGUUUUACUUGAUGCCUGUUUAAAUAUUGUAACAUGGAGGGUUUCUGCUUUUUUGUAACUCACACAAGCUCCUUUUUUUUCAUAUAGGUAAACAAAUCUGGGAUGUUUGAUCCAAGUCCUGAAUACUCUGUUAUGGCCGAGCUAACUUCUGUGGUUUGUACUUCUGUGACGAAUAUGCCAAAAUUGCAGUUAAAAAAUGGUAUUCUUUUUUCCUGGGCAAUGGCUGUCUGAAUGGUCAUAUUGUGCAUUCUAUUUUUUGUUAGGUCGUGUUAUUGAAUGAGGUUCAGUUGCUGCAAAUUUUAAGUCUCUGGGAUCACUUUUCCGUCUGCUCCUUGAGAGAGAGGUAAUUUUUUUCGAUGUGUCUAGUUCCAUGCUUACACUAUGAUGGCUCCUUAUUUGCUUUGUCAUUAUCUUCUAAGUGCCUAGUUUACGUAGAUGAUGUUAUCCAACAAGCUUUCACUCGUUUUCUAUAGCCCGAACUCCUAUCUAAUUCACGAUUCUUUUCAAUCGAUCAUGAGGAUGGAUGUGUACUCAACUUUAUUUAACAAUUGGGAAAAUAAUUGACGUACAUUGUAGGGCACAGCCCAUUCAUGGAAACAGUGAUGAUCGAUCAAAAACUUCCUGAUCAACUAAUUACAGGUUAUAACUUUGGCAUGGAGAACUGCACAACUGGCCCCUCAUCAUUAAUCGCUGUACCUGCUCUUGUACCACGUGCAGCUUCUGGAUGCUGCUCAUGACAUGUGACAUAUUAUUUGUUUUAACUGAUUGAAGUUCCUAUGGUAGUUUGUGCCUGCAUAAUGAUAAAGAAGAAGAAAGGAAAAGGGUGCGGAGGUAAUAACAUGCACAUAAUCAAUAAAUAAAGAAGAAGACCUGCAAUUAUGACUGGUGGGGCACCUAAAAAAAGAUUGGUUCCAUGAGUGAAAGUAGAAAAAAGGAGAUGAGCAGAAACAUCUUUUCAGUGAUUAAAUUACGUUAAUAUCGCUUCACCGUUUUGAAUAAGGCUAACAUCAAGGUUAGAGUGUCUUCUUUGAUAUAGCGUUGUGUUGUUUCCAAGAAUUGUGACUCGUGACAUUUUAGUUUUUUAUCUUUCACCCGUAAAUGAUUAAGAGUUUAGUUAUAUAGCUGAACUACGAAAAUCAUCAGAGCAGUUUGACUUCGGAAGGGUGUAAUAUGAAUGUGAAGAUGGGGUGGAAGUCACUGAAAAAAAAUGUGGUAAAAGUGAUACUGUAAGCCAUUCGAAAUAUAUGGAAAAGUAAUUUUUUGGUUUGGAGGAUUAUCCAUGACUGAUUUGCUCCUAUUUGUUAAUUUUAGAAACGUGCAUGAUUGUGAAAGUAUUGAAAAUACUAUUGUUUCUUGUUCACCUCUGGUUAAAUGGAGUUGAGUUCCAGUUGAAGAUUUAGAAAGUAUAGUCUUAAGGGAUUAUUAUCACGUAUUUUUGGCUGGAAUUCAUGUCACAAUCUUUAGAAGUUUUGCUUUGUUAUGUUUUCUCUUAAUUGGGUGCUGCAGAUAUGGACGUUAUCGACCAGAUCACACCUCGUUAUUGUGGAAGGUUGAUGGCUGGCAAAUAUUAUGGUGGCAUUAUGCACAACAAUCUGUUUUAGCAGAUGUCAGACGGAGGUUGAAGAAGACUUCUUGGAGCAGUCUUGGAAGGAGAAUGUAUGCCAGAGUUCUCACUUUGUAUUGUUUUGGAGAGUAGUUAGUUUUACGACAUGGUUGUAAUUUUUGGACAGUAGAAAGCACAAUUUCCCUUCUCAUGAUUCUUGGUCUUGUAUGUGUAUUCUUUGCUUUCUAUGAUGAGCAGUUGUAAUUGAAUUCUUUCGCCAGGAAUUUAUCAUUUUCCAAUGUCUAAUAUUUUCCUUUUUAUUCAUUUAUUCAUAAAUUUUCGUCAUCUCCCUUGGCUAUUUAUUUACUCCUUAUCUCAGUCCAAGAAUUAAUUAUGAUUGCGGCCAGUCAAUCUGGAUUACAAUGAGAGGCCUUCAGUCUGAUCCUCGUGAAACCCAAUCCCUUCAUCACCAUAUAGAAGUUAGAUUGAAUGAAGCCUUCAGUCUGUUCCUUUGAAAUCAAAUUCCUUUAUUACAAAAUUAAACAAAAAUUUUAGCUCAUCCAACUUUUAUAUGAUGAUGAUCGACCAAUUGGGUCUCAGUUAUAAACCCAAAUUUUAGAAAUUUUUGAAGGGCAGACUCCUGGAAAGUACGUUUGUGCUGAUGCUCAUGAGACAACUAUACAUUUUUCUCUUGCACAUUCAAGUCCAUCAAUUUGUGUUAUGACGCAUUGACCAUUCUGGUUUCAGGAUGUUUGAGAGACAAGGUAUUAAUUGUGAGUUUAGGUAGUAUGAUAUUGCUUUCCUUCUAUGAAAAAAUGGGAGUUUAUGGUGGAAAGCCAGCAUUUUCUCAAUUUUCUUCUAUUGGUGGUGUUCUAUAUUACCUUCCAAUUUAAAACGUUAAAAUGUUUGAAAGUCUGGAGUAUGCUGUCUUUGGUUUGGAUUCUAGGGUGUGUUAAUUCAAUGGUCUCUCUUUUUGUUUUGAUUACACAUCUGAUACUAGGGGAGCAAGCAGUGUACAUUGUGAUUAUGCAUCUAGUAUAUGUGUAGGUGAUGGAUUGUUUUAGAAUAAAUUGUUGCAUUCUCACAAACUAUGGGCCACUUUUAUUGAGAUUUUUUCUGUCUAUUUAAUAUUAUCAUUGGAAGCUUAUCGUGUUCAUUAUUUUAUCAGGAGAUAUUUCAUUGGUUUGGUUUUUAAGUUGCUGAUUAGUGCUAGAUCAGGAUCUAUCUAUAGAUCAUGGCACUAUUUGUGACGUCCAAUAUUGACAAAGCCGAACCUGUUGACAGUCAGACAUGCCUUUCUAGUGACUAAAUUUUUUUAUUUCUAAAGCAGUUUUAUGUACUUCUCGUAUGUUGGCUGAAGAUGAUGUAAAUGAGCAUUAUAAAGGAUAAUGCCUUUCCGAUUUCAUAGAAAUGUUUGAAAAUUAUACUUCUUAAAAAUGUUGAUGGACAUAGUCUAAAAAAUGAUGGACAUUAAACUUUUGCUAGCAGUAACUACAGUGUGCUCAACAUCUUCUGUACUAGAGGCUUAAAUUAAUUUUUUUUUCGUGGAUGGCCUAAUUGAAAAUGAUGACAAAGGCAACAUCUUUAAGGCCUCUUCUUCUUUAUUAAAUUCAACUUUACUCACCAUAGUUACAUUAAUUCUGUCUGCCUAUCUGUGCAUGCCAUGACUAUUAAUUUUCUGUCAUUAUAUGCCACGACGUAACAAAAAUGAACUGCUGUUCCCAGUGCUCUUUACCAUUGCAGAAGGGAAUAAAUUCAAUGGUCAACAUUAUUUCAGUAGUAUGUUUAUGCCUUCUUAUGUGGUUCUAAAUCUGAACAGUCUCAAACGGCAUCACAUUUUGAUCGUCAUCUAGUACUUUAUUUGAAAAUAGCUCACACUUAUCAUUGCUUCCUUGAUUGCUGAGUUUUAGCUCCUAGCAGGAGUUAAUUAGCGUCAUUCUGGCUUCGCCUUCUUUUUUCAUUUCCCUAGCCUCCAUUCUAGCAAUCAACAACGGAGAGGUUGCGACUCUCUGCUCACUAUUCUUUGUGUUGGAGGUUUUGAAUGAUUAUAAUCAUAUUCAUUGCUUCUAUAAUUGCUUUAUGAACGUCUUGUUGUCGAAUGAUCGACACGUUUCGUAAAGACAGAUGAAAUCUUAUCUUGAAUUAACUGGUGCGAUCCCAACAUCUGGUGGCCACAGGUCCUUUGAGCCUAGUCUGUAGUCUUUAAAAAGGAAAGUAACAUGUUCAAUGUUGGUUAUGCUGCUGUCUCUACUUAGAAUGCUCUUCUAUCUUUGCCAUUUUUUGGUUUUUCUUUCCCUGGUUAUUUGGUCCAUCGACUACUGCAGGGCUUGGCUUUGCUCUUUGUCCUUUUUGCCUAGCGAUGUGCGAUGUCAAUUGAAUUUCAAGUAUUCCAGGCUAGACAUCUAGAAGUCUGAAUUUAAUUUUUUGCUCUAAUGCAGAAGUCAGCGUCGGAAAUAUGUGAAUCUUUACAGAAGAAAACUGGAGCUUAUACAACAGAAUCAGGUUAAAGACGAUUCUGUAUACAGAUUUCCUUUUUAUUUUGUCUUUAUACGUUUCUUUUAACCAUUGAACGUGUCUGUUUACAUAUUUAAACUUCUCCAUUUCCUCACUUUCCAUAAACAAUAAAUUUUUUUGGGAUUUUACUUCUGUAUGCCCCUUCCAUUGAUUUGACUAAUCUAUCGUAUGAAUCUAUUGAUGACAAUAUCGAGGACCAUCCUGAAAUUCAAUUCCUGGUUGUAAAUAGAGCACUGAUUUUGGUCAUCUUUUGCCAGAGACGAGUCGUUAUAUUACCUUCUAGAUGGUGCUUCUGUUGAAUAUUACAGACUUUAUUCUGACUAAAACUUGCAAUGGGUAAAGUGAUUUUAAAUGUAUCUGCAUUACAACCAUCAUAAAUAAUGUAUCCAUGAGAUGUGAAUUAUGUAUGUCUGAUUGCGAAAGACAUUCGCAUGCUGAUGGGAAGAAGAGUUGAAGGAUCAUCUUUGCCCCCAUGUUUGUCCAGUUAGACCCUCCUGAUAGUGAGUAGUCAGAAUUAUUUGUCAACAGUGACUCUUUAUUUACUUUUUCUAUUCUUCAUUGCUUACAGUGUUUGUAAGUAUAAAGGAGGCCUCUUCAUCGUUAUCAAUCCUUCGAAGACAGUGAGUAAAAACAAAGGUUAAAGAAAAAUUCAAGUUUUCUCCAAGAUUACUGACCAAAAGAAUGUUAAUGGGUAGUAUGGGAUCAUGAAGGUCAUCAGAGAAAGUAAGUGAUAAUACAGUUGAAUGACUCCUUUGCUACUAAUAAUGACCUUGGUGCCACGAGCAGUGGUAGUUUUAUCUAACUUUAAACUAAAAAAAUCUUUGGAAAACAAGUUAGGGUUGCUGUCAUAUGUAUAAAGUUUCCAUAUUUGAUAACUCAUGAAUCAAGAGCACGAUGAGUAGAACUUUUUCAGUUUCUGUUUGAGGAGAAUACUGAAUUGUAAAAGAAUUUAAGGAAACAAUUCCGGAUUCUGAAAUUUCGUCAAAACUAGUGAUUGCUUCGUAAGAAGAGCUAGCAGAAAUAGGUUCGAGGCUAUGAGCUAUGACAACGCUCCCUUUAGCUACUUCUCCCUAUUUUACAAAUGGACUUUCCUGGUUGGGACACGUUGUGACUUUCCGGUCAGUAUGUAGCAGACCUGAUGGCCUUUUUUUAUUUUCCUUGAUUGUUUCCUCCCCCGAAGUGCUGCUAAUGUGUGUUGAAUAUUCUCUUUUAGCAAUGGAUCCACUAUUUAGUCUUUCAUUCAUGACAUUCAUCCUUUCUUCCUCACUCAACACCCUGAAAUACACUUGCUUUAGAGUUGUUAUGGGAUCAAAAUUGAAAAUCUGACUCCUUAUAGGACUACUAAAAUCCUGUCAAUCAAGAAAAUUUUGUCCUUUAGGAUUUAUUUUUUUGGUCUUCGUACCUACUUAUUAUCAAGGACAUGAUAUUGUGUAUGAUGAACAUGAUAGAUACAUGUGCUCAACUUGAGGGGAAGUGGUCAGAGGAUGAUGGCAUUUGUUUUCUUUUUUCCCUACCGCCUUUAUAAUAGAGCCGUUUUGCCUUAUCAUUAGAUUGCAAGGUGUCAACUGGCCUAUCUUUUUUGGCGACCUCCUCUCCCACCAUCCCAUCUUCGCCUUAGGUAGGAAAUAACAUUUCAUUUGUUUGCGGUAUGCUGCUGCCAUUGAAUUUCCAUGACUAGUAUCUACAAACUGCUCUUUCCCUCCUAGGUACUCGCAAGUGGGUCUGUAACAUCAAUAAUAGGUUAUAUAAUUUAUCCUGUCUGUCACCUACUGUUUCAGACCAGUGCCGUGGAAUUGUGGGCUAAAAGGGGCUUUUUUGCAACUUUAUUUCCAUGACUUCUGGGGGUUAUAACUCAUUCUGGUUUUCAUGGAUAUUUUAGUGUCAGACUUUUGUGCAUGAUAAGGCAAACAGGCUUCUUUCAGGCAGUGAAAUCUGGUUAUACUGAAAAAGGUACUGCCAAAUAAUAUUGACAAGCAUCAUGAUUAAAUUUCUCAAUAUUUAUCGCUGGUAUAUGACCUUUAGAUGGCUUGACGCAGACUAGCCAGUCUUUGAUUGACUUUAAUACGAUGAAUAAUUUCAUAAGAGUUUAUUGAUUGUUGUCUGAAUCCUCUAGUGGUCUUUCUCUUUGUAGUCCAUGAGAAGGCUGAUAAUAGCUGGAAAAUUUUCAUUUUUCUUCCGAUGGACACUGCAUCUUCUAUGAUAUGUUGGGAGAGGCUUUGAUCACCAUUGUUCACCAUUGUUUAAUCAAAAGUAAUGUUGAGUCUGUGACACUGGUUCAGGAAAGUUUUGUUGGAAGAAAAGAUUAGAUCAGUAUUUUCCGAUCUGCUUUAGAUUUUCACUAAAGAUAUUCUGCAACAGAUUUAGCCAAGAUUUUUCCAUUUUGAUCACGAGUAUACAUUUUAGUCACCAUCAGUUGACUUAUUACGUUUUUUUUAUUUUUGACGAUAUCUCCAUGAAGGGACUUUCUAUGUUCUCAAGAUUUUUUAAAAGGCUGUGCAUUAAAAGAUGACUUUUGGCUUCAUGAUUAAAGAUGAAUUCCUGGUUAUGUCAUUCAGCAACCUGUGCAUUAUGGAGGAAAUUUUCGACUUAAAUAUUUGCUGAAUUCCUUAAUACCUGAUCACUCUUUCCAAUUCCUCAAACCUUAGAUCUUUAUUCCUGCCUGAUUAUUGUUUCACAUAUGCCAUUGCGCCAAAUUUAUACAACAGUCUUCAUUGAAACAUCUGUAAGACGGACAUAUAUUUGGUGUUGUGAGUUCCAUGCUGUAUAGCCCAUUGUCUUUUACAAGUAUUGAUGUUUCUUCAAUCAUGAAAUUAGCAUGUCAGUGAAGAAAUUUUGGAGGAGCUGGAGCAGAUGGAUAGAGAAUGUGAAAUUGAUGAGAUCUUGAGCUACAGGUCCACAGCGGAGAACCAAUUGCAGGUUAUCACCUUUAGUUGCAUAUGCCUGUCUGCUUUGCCAUGGCCACAUAUACGGCUAUUCAUAUCUUUCAUUUUGCAUGGUGAAUAUUAUUUAUUUUGUGUUUUAUUUUGAUUCAUCACAUUCGUCUUCUUCUUUCCUAAAUCUGGAAACGUCCACUUUGUGUUGAUAUCAUAAAAUAACUCUAUCCUGAUUCUGUCUGCCUUUCGUUACUUGGAUGAUCUGGAUAUCUUGUUCAUGAUUUGUGAUCCUCAAUAUGUAAUAGAUGGCUGAUGCUGUAGAUAAAAAGUGUUUUAACAGGAACCUAGCAUGUUUAGAAGAUUAUUUUAAAAAACUACAUGUUGCCAUAGUCUGACUCGUUUUACAUUUUUUGCGCUCCUAGUGGAGUACAGAGUCAACCAACAUUACCUAGACAGCUAAUCUUACACUCUUUCCAAUUUUGUGAAUAUUUCAUUCAACAAAGGUUGGUAUUUGCUUCAAGUUUCUUGGUAACUCUCUGAAUAAUAUCAUGAUUGAAUGGGUAAUUUGACUGUAAAUUUUUCGGUAACUAUUGCAUUGUCAAAUUCUAAUGAUGCAUUUAGGCAUAGUUUUCUAGGAUUUUUAUUUUUUAUUAUUUAAUGCUUUAUUGAACAAUAAUCACCUAGAUUCUAUAUCUUUUUGACAUUUAUUCACCUAGAAUCUUUAAAUAUUUGGUAUUAACUUUGAUUGCCUUCAUACCAGAUGUAUGCAUUAAUGGAUCUUGUGACAAUUGAACCCUCGGUUUCCUACCAUUUAUUAAAAAUGUUUUUAUCUUUUAUGUUGUUCUUGCAUUGUAUUUCAUGUCAGAUAAGUUAACUGCGAUUUUCUUCCCUCUAUAGUUCCUGGACCUUUCUCAGCUGCUAGUAAGAUUUAUCUUAGCUUUUUUUCCUCUAUUAGUUAGGAGCUAGCAUUAGGCUGGCACACAAAAAAUACUUGAAACCGUAGUAUUUGUCUCUAAAAUGUUAACCAGGCAUGAUGGUUAUGGUAACGAUGCUGAUGGGAUGAUUUUCUUAUUGUGCAAUGAUUAUAUUCUUAGAAACUUCCAUUCCAUUUACCCAUUUUAACACCGUUUCUCUGAUAAAUUACCAUAUAUAGUAUGGUAGUCUUCCCUAAUAUCGAUGAUGGGUCUGUAAUUAUUCCAUCCAUUUGCAGGAUUUUAUGCUGCAGAAGAAAGAUUCUGGUACAGGUACAAGUGAUGUACAUGAUUCUCAAGAAAAGGGACAAAAUGAUGAGAGGUCAUUCACGAGAUUAAGAGGAUGGUUAAAUUGGCUGUCCCUUGGCAUGCUUGGUGCCGGAGGGACGGCAGACUCAAGCUCAUUUACUGGUGUUGUUUCUGAUGAAAUUAUCAAGGUACUGUCGAUGGCUGAUCAACUGAAUUUACUGCUUCAUUGUGUAUAUUUAUGGAUCGUAUUUUUGUUUAGGAUAUCUAUGAGGCUACAGAUUCCCACCCACUGCCUGUUUACAGUAGUAGUGAAAGCUCUCAAAGAAACAGUAUACUUUCAUCACUAGUCAAGUUUGAUAUCGAUCAUUUCACCAUGACAAUCAGCAGCAGGUACUUCCAUUUCUCCAAAUACGGUUCAUUACUUUGACCAUGUUUGAUAUUCUAUUUUUAUUCUUUAUCUUGGUUCAUUCUUUUAUAUCUUGGUUUCUUAGAGCUUAGAGACUUCCUAACCAAAUCAUGCUUUCUAAUCAUUGGUAAAAGAAACUGGUGUCCGAAACAGGCUUAGUGUAUGUUUGGAGCCAAUAUCACGGAUCUGAAACCCAUCCACUAGGGUCGAUCUGUCCGUUAGAGUACAGUGUAACAAGGAUAUUUACAUUGAGUUGUAAGUUUCCUUCAGUGGGAAUAGCUCUAACGCAAGUUGGGGGUGGUUUGCCAGACAAGACAGUGAAUAUCAUACGUCUGCCUAAAUUUGAUAGAAUGGCAUAUUUCAUGGAUGGUAAGGUGUCCGUCUGUUAUAUUUAUGCCUAUUUGUAUAUUCAAAAGAAAAUACACUACACAACACCCCCAAUACCUAUACCAUCAUAGUGAAAGAACCAUGUUAAGGGUUAUGGAUAAUGAUCAUAUCUCUACUCUCUAUAAGCCUUAACGAAAUAAACUGACAUUGUCCUUGCUACUUAUAGAAGUUUAUCGCUCACUCUCUCCUCACACAUUAAAAACGUCCACCCUGUAGGUACUACGUCGUUAAAUAAGUUGGUUAUUUUAUUUCAAAUUGUACGAAGGGUUAUGGUUAGACACCAUACUCUCUGAUUAACACCCGCCGGAUUGGAGAUGCGUGGCAUGCUGGCCAGAAUUGGCAGCCAGCUGAUCCGAUUGGAUUGUAGUCAUGGUGAGCAUGCUUCAGGGAAUGGGCCACAUCCUGACUGUUUGGAUACCUUUAUACAAAUUCAUGUCCAAUUUAUUGAUUGAUGAUGUAAUGCCUGAAAUCUACCUAAUCUGAAUUUAUUUCACUCAGAUCAACUGAAUUCUAAGAGGAGCACUUAUAUAAGAAUGGGGAAAUUGAAUGUGUGGUCUGCUAAUGGAGGACAGAGAAAGCUGAGGGAAGGAAAGGACACAAAAAAUAAGAAAAAGAAAAACUUCCAUGGAGCCUCACCCAUUGCUGUGAUCACCGCUUUCCAGUUUAUGAAGCUCCACGCAUCUGGAGUGAGUGCAGUCUACUGCAUUCGAGAAAAGGGCUAGACUAUUGGAAGACUCAGAGAUUUUUGUUAAGUCGAGAUUUAUGUAUAAAUUACAUAAGCUUUAUUAUUUUUCCUCUUUUAUCCAAAUUAGCUCUCCCUUUAGAAUGUCUACCUUGUCCAAUCUGGUACAUAUCCACAUUGCAUUGCACUCAACUAAUCUAGCUAUCUGAUCUGAUUCAUAGAGCUGUACAGUUAUUAGGUUUUGGCAGGGAUAGGAAGGUCCUUUAGAUUUUCUUUCCCAUUGUAUUUAGGGAGAGGAAUCUCUCCGGGAAGCAUAAAUAAGAUAUUAUUUUUUAGGGCCUGAUGUGGAGAAUUAUUGGGUACUAAACAUCACAUCUCAUGUUUUAUUGAAAGAGCAAGAGGUUGUCAGGUGAUGACCGGGGAGAUCGAAGUGCCGAGGGAUUGAUCCAGGUUCAGAGACUCCAGCAUAUUUCCUGCAAAUAAUCUGAUUAUGCUAUAUUUUUGUAUACCUUUUAGUACGUUAUUAACUAAAGUAAAAUAGGAGUCAUUUGAGUUCGUAAAAAAAUGUUCGUCUUGCUUUCUGAUAUCAUAGCUGGGUUAAGUCGCUAGCCUGGAACUUGACAUUCCCUUCUAGAGUUAUCGAUUUAUGAUAUGAAUUUCACGAUGAUAUUGUUUUUGAAUUUAAUCACGAUGUUACUUGACACUUAUUGUUUUUUAAGUGGUUUGUGCUCCGUCAUUUUUCCUAUUUGCACGUCUUCGUGAUGAAAGAUAUCCUACAGUUUGCAUUUAUUUUAAAAUUUUGAUUCUAGGUAUAUUUGUUGGAAUUGUAGGAAACAUGUCAAAGACAUAGCACUGGUGUUUUUGGACGGAGUUGGUGUAGAAUGUAAAAUUUCGGAGGAUUCUAUUGACAUCACCCUCUUGAUGACGUCUGCUAAGAUAAUCAACCCUUGUAACGAUAACAUCUUGCUGACAUCUGAAAAGGUUUAUUCUGUACCCUCACUAUUCCUGAGUGCGUUAGGCUUUAGAUGUUGAUGUUAACAACAAAUUGGCAUCACUUUGUUGUACCUUUCCCAGAUCUUUUUUACGAUAUCAGUCCCUUUUUAGAAAAAGAAAAAUGACGACCAUUUUUCAGUGCAGAUUUCUGACGGUGGUGUCUCGUCAACAAAUACUCCAUGUUUUUGUGCUCACAUUAAAGCCCCACCCAUAAGGCAGACCUUUGAUCUUUCCAUAGAGGUGGCUUGCCUUUUCUUGUCUUAAUAGAUGUCUACGUCGGUAAAUAUCACUAGCAAAUUGUUUGUUUAUUUUUGGAGAAACUCAUGAGAAAUGCUUGGCAGGCCAUUCUUCAGUGCAUUGAAAUUACGUAUGACUUGGAUUUUCUUAAAGACGUUCUGGAAUUUCAGAGUGCACUUGGAAGCGUACAGUUUCAGAACCAAAGAGUAAGAAUUCUCUCUUUGAGCCUACUUUUUUAUCUUCUCCUGGCGAUUAUGUAUGAUAUAUUUCUGCAGGUUCUCGGAUGUUAUCAUUCAUUCUCAGUGCACUUUUUCCCUGCUUUGUUAUGCCUGCCCUAGCAUUCAAGUUACUCAUUUUGAUUUCACCAGAAAAAAUUACCCAUCAAAGUAUGUCACAUCUUGGUUUACAUUCUGAUGUUUGAAAGUCUUAGUCUUUAUUGUUGUGGGAUAGUAAGUACCAGCUUAUUUCCAAAUCCAUAAAUGCAUUUACUUCCAUAUUGGCUUUAAUGGAUAUAUUCAUAGGCCUAAUAUAUAUAUAUAUAUAUAUAUAUAUAUAUAUAUAUUUAUUUUUAUUUUNNNNNNNNNNNNNNNNNNNNUAUAUAUAUAUAUAUAUAUAUAUAUAUAUAUAUAUUCUUUUUAUUUUUUCUAUGGUGUUGUUAAGUAUGAUAAUGUCUUUGAAUAUGACUAACUAGUUUUACGGUAGCACAGUAAUGGAUAGUCAUAAUUGUGGCUGUGCUAUUUCUUGUGUCUUGUUUCAUCUCUCCGAGAUGUGAAAUUUUUCUUACUUAUAAUGUUCUUUGCUUUUACAUGCCACCUCGUUGUUGUAUUUUCAUUUGAAGCUUGAGGUUCAAGAAACCAUUAUGUAUUCGUCCCACAUGAACAGCUUUCGGCUGUAAACUUUUUAAUUCUUCAUUAAUAUUUUAUGCAUCAGCUGGCUUUGUUGACCUUGGUAUCUCUUCUCCGUUGAUGUUGUAAACGUCUUUUGUUUUUGACUAAAUAUAUGAGUUGUACUCAUUUUGAUUAUUUUUAUGUUAAAAUUAUUAUAUUUUAUAGAAAAAUUUGGUUGAAUUGCAGGUUAUCUCGUCAUUUAAUGGCUUUGUACAAGUCAAUGCUAGAGUGUUGUCUAAAGCUGAGUAAGUGUUGUCAUUUAAUGGCUAUGUUUCUGACUAUAGUCACACUUGAGGGACUAUAUUUUGUGCAUGCCUAAUUGCUAUUUCCUAUUGCAGGUACAUCUUCCUAACUCGUAAAAAGGUUAACUGGGAUGUCAGUGUUCGAAAUGUUAAUGUAAAGGUUCCUCAGAUAUGCAACGACUCAGAAUCUCAUAUUAUGGUAUGCCUUCUGCUGGUCAAGCUGUAUUGUGCCUCAUGGAUUAUUUAAAAUAUUAGUUUUUCCUAGGCUCAAAUAAAAGAGUUGUUUUUUGAGCUUAGUUGCUCUAACCUCGUUAGAUUUGAUGACUUUCUGUUAGUAGUUCUUUUCUUUCUGUUGUUUGUAUUUCUUUUUUACGUAUAUUAUAUGGUAAUAGUAUAGGUGUGGUAUUUUACCCUCAAGGAUUCCCGUAAAAUACUAUUCCACUUUUAGGAAAAAUGGUCCUACUGUGGAAGUACUAGUUUGGAGGGCUUUACUUCGUUACAGAAUAUGAUCUUAAUGGACUUAAUUUUCUGCCGCAAUUAUAUGUGGAAUUUAAUUUCACGAUUUACCAUAUAGACCCGGAUUUAUUGCUCCUCUUCACAGCCAAUGCUUUUAUUCCGUUAUCACCAAUGUUGACGGGCCACAUAAUCCAGAGGAUAGAUGAUCUAGUAGUUUUUUAGGAGUUGAUUGUUAUGCCUCUAGAACCUUCCGAGUUCUGGUAUUUAAUUGAAUAUGUUUUCAUUUUCGAAUAAGAGAAUAUCCUUCUCCACGAGCUCUGGUGUCUCUACACAGAGCACCAAACCGGAUUUUAUCUUUAACAGUUAUCACCAAACUUUUUGUUUUGAAUCUAACGCUGGACCUAACCAAAUCAAGCCCUACGUUCCGCAAGUAUCUUGUAGAUUUCUUGUAGUUGGAAGAGGAUGCAAACACUAUGUAAGUCCCCAGCUCGAUUAUCACAUGAGUUCUCUCUGGUCUGCACAGGAUGUAAACACGUUUUUAGCUCGACUAUCAUCUUUACUGGGUCCCUUUUUAUCCCUUUUCUUUCCUUUCCAUGAGAAUGGUAUUAAAACAAAGAACUUCCUCUGGGGGUCUUAUUUUUUAGUGAAACUCGAGUUAUUUGGUGGAGCUUCCUAUAGGCCUCUCAAUUUUUAUUAAAUCUCAAAUCAUUGCUUCCACCUUAAGAUCACAUCUUUCUAUGUCUCUGACGGGUGAAUUUUGCAAGUGUGAAUGAUGAUGGAACGAAUGAUAGAUACCAAUGUCACAUUCUCUCGUGUUUACUUGGAUUUAGGUCCACGUUCCCUUAUUUUGUGAAGGAUUAUAAAGAAUACUGCCGUGAUUGUAUCUCACAAAUAAUCAUGUCUUCACAAAAUAAAGGAACAUUAUCCUUGCUCUUUAUCAAAGUUUGUUCCUCACUCUCUUCUGACACGACAGAGAUGACCACUCCUUACCUUAGAUUUGUAGAUUUGUAGAUUUGUACAGGUGCUAGGUUUCGGCCAGGAUAGGAAGGUGCUUUAGAUUGCUCUUCCCAUCGAAUUCAGGGAGAGAUCUCUCAGAGAAGGAUAUAAUAAAAUAUCAUUUUUUAGGGCCUGAUGUGGAGUUUUUGCAUAUGACAUUGUAUAUAUAUCAUGUUCCACCGAAAAAUCAUUCGUCAUCAAAGCAUAUUCAGAAUGAUUUCUAUAUGGUUUGUAUUUUGAAUGGUAACAAGCUAUGCUUCCUGUUUGACUAUCAAGUUUGUUACCAAAUAUAAGGUCAGAUUUUUUAUUCAAAAUGAUAUUGCAUUAAGGAAAUUUGCCAAUCAUUUGAACAAAUUUGUACACAUUUCUUAGAUUUGAGCUUGAAAUUUCUCUUAUUCCUAUGUUAGAGUUUUUAAUCUUUCAGGUACUUAUACUCUGAUGUAGAUUUAUCCACUGUUUUCAGAGUGCAAACGCUCUAUAAAAAAAUCUAGUUUGGAUAUUCAUUCACCUUUAACGUCCCUUAAAUAGGGACGAGCCUUACAGACAUUUUCCCCAAAUGCCCUUAUUCAUUUACAAUAUUACCAUUAUACCAUCUAACAAGAACAUGUCAUGAAUUUCUUUAUCUUGAAUCCUUGCCUACCAUGUACAGAGCAUUGUUGCUCUUUGCCAUCUGUUUUCAUCUUGGCUGUAUGAAGACAUCUAACAUCAAUUGUUUGGAUCUAAGUACAAGAAGUUUAUUGUUUUCAUACUGUGCAGGUACUAAAACUAGGGACUCUUCACCUAAUGUCAAGAACCAGAACGAAAAGUGACUCUGUAAUGAUUGAUAGUAAGGACCACUUUUGUGAUUCUUUGAUGAACAUGUUGCCAGCGUACAACUUGCCAUCAAAUUUUGAGCUUGAAGAUCUCUACGAACACCUGGAGAUUGAUCUAAUUGACUUUAAGGUGGCACUUCAUUCCAUUUGACAGUCUGAUAUAUAUAUAUAUAUAUAUAUAUAUAUAUAUAUAUAUAUAUAUAUAUAUAUAUAUAUAUAUACUANNNNNNNNNNNNNNNNNNNNNNNNNNNNNNNNNNNNNNNNNNNNNNNNNNNNNNNNNNNNNNNNNNNNNNNNNNNNNNNNNNNNNUAUAUAUAUAUAUAUAUAUAUAUAUAUAUAUAUAUAUGUAAUAUCAAAUUCUGAUUUUCCCUUUAAUUUUUUAGGCAAACAUCUUGGCAGCUAAGUCAAUUGACGUUCUUCCAGUCUUGGGGAAGUUCAAUGCAACUGUUAUCCUCAGGUUAUGCGUAUUUUUUGAUGAACCGACAAUGAAGCAGUUGGAUGUAAUUUUCUUCCCAUGGUUUCAUAAAAUAUGCUGGUCUGAAGUUUAACCCUUUACCGUGUUCCUUAAUGUGGAGUUUUUCUUGUCUCUUUAUCUCCGAAUCUACAUACCUGGUUUAAAUCUAGACCAUAUCUGUGUUGCUUGGGAUCAAUUAAUCUUUACGACAAUGGGAUUGAAUUUUAUGCCAUUUUUCUGUGUUCGGACAUUCAUAAUCGUUGGUGGGGAAUCAUGUAAUGUACUCUAUCAACAGUGUCUUAGAAACCCCAAGACCAAAGCGUCAGAAUCCUUUCUACCUUAGCAGACUGCUUGGUCACUGUCAGCUCGCAAUGACAUGGUGUUCUAUCAUCAUUUUUUAAACAAGUUUUACUAAGCGUACUGCAGAUAAACAUGCUUGCAAGCUUCUAGAAGAUAAUAUAAAUUCUGGAAGAAAUAGAAUAUUGUGGUGAUCCAUUCUAAGGUGUCGGUAUGUCAACCCCGUAAGAGGCAGAGAUUUGGAAGGCGCUUAUAAGCAGUUAACCUGAUUACCGUGCAGCAUGGUGAAGAUUGAAUUUAAGCCAUUAGUGAAUAGUGUCUACAAUGAACAAAUGUUCGUUUCAUGUACGACAUCCUUUUUUUAUUUUGACUAUAACUUGGUUUGGUGUUUUUAGUUUGGUGAUGUAUCCUUGUAUCUUUGGCUUUUCAGCUUUACUUAUUUUUAAUUUUUUCAGUUCUUAGUACUGUUGACCGUUUGAUACAAUCUCCCCGUGGUCAUAAGCCCAAUUUCCGUGGAUUGAUCAAAAGGGGUGGCUGAUGCUUGCGUAUUCUUGUUUGUGCAUUGCAAUCCUCUCAAAUAGAAUAAAAUAUUCUACUUUUAGCUGUUUUGCUUGAUUUGAGCUUUUGGUUGAUAAUCUCCGAGUUCAUGGCCUUCGAUGCGCUGAAAAUGUGAAAGUCAUAUUCCUUCAUCGAAUUGCAGGCCCACUGCACUCUUGGUUUACUUGAUGUGCAUAUUUCCCCAAUGGUAUUCGGCACUCUUUCAAAAUUAGGCUUUAUGAAGAAUGAAGAAGCCAUUGAGAAAGGUGAUGAAUUACAUGCUGCAUCUGCACAUUCAAAUGGCCUGAAUUUGUCAUGGUACUCGGCAUCUAUCCAGUUGAAUCAUUUCAAUUUGUAUGUGGACCUUGAAGAUGAUUCAGACCGAAGUUCUGUGAUUUCAAUCAGUUUAACGGAUUCUAUGAUUGGGUCAGUCUAUUUUGAAAAUAUAUAUUCAAUGUAAGUUAUUCAUUGUUUUUGGGAAAAGUGUUCUAACUUUGCAUCAAAUUGCAGAUAUAUAUAUCAAGAAUCUGUUGAUUUUCGUUUCCUUGUGAAGAUGAUGAAGAUAAGUGGUGAAGGUGUUUCGAAAGACAGACCCAGUAGCUAUAUCCUUUGCUCAUCUAGAACCAGUGCUAGUGCAGAAUCCCACUCUUCUCGUGAUGAAGAACUCGGUGUCAACAGAUAUGAAACUGCUCGAUCUGGACGAUGUUCCUUGAGUGAUGAAUGCUUUGUAUUUCAUUAUCGGGCUCACAAAAAUGGUUCGACAGCUCAACAUAAGUGUGAUAUAGGUCUCAGUGAAUUUGAUUUCCACAUCCACCCUUGUGUCGUUGGGAUUCUGCAGGAGUCAUACAGCAGAAUAUUUGCCCACGGAAAUUAUUCAGAUGAUGCUUCUUUAAGUUCCUCUGUGCAGGGCUCCUUCAAAUCAGGCAAAAUCAAUGACAAAAGUUCAGUCUUUGGCAACGAUCUCCAUAAUUCUAAACGGUUAUCUGAUUCUCCUUUCAAUCAGUUUCCUUCCACAAACACUGGUUCUGCCGGUUCCUCCUGUAGUACUGGAAGGUCAUUCUUUCAGAGUCUUCCUAGGAGAAAUGAUUAUAUUACAAAUGAGGAAUCUCCCAUAAUCCAGAUAGGUGGUGUCAAUAAAAAGCCUGAGAGCAUACCUGGAAUCGGCAGUAAUGUAGACCGUGCCUGUCUGAAUUCGAGAAGCACUGAUAUUUUCACGGUGGAUUUUAAUCUCAGAGAAGUCAGAGCUCAUUUCCAUGAUUCGUCCUCUGUUCUGGCAACUCUUAGUUGCCCAUCAUUUGGGCUUUCGUUUUUCUUUGAAGGGGCUGAUUCUUGGGAUGUAUUUUGCCAAUCUGAAGGAUUGAAUCUUUCUUCACCAUGGUCCACUUCAUCUUGGUCUUCUCCAAAUAUCUCUGAGCUUGUGUGGGGCCCAGCCUCACCGACCAUUUCCUCAACUCUUAACAUUCAUGUUAAAAAGUUCAGAAAUGAGGCAGAGCUCCUUCUAAUUGAAACAUAUAUCAUGCUUCAGCGUGUAAGCUGUAUUUUACCGCCUGAGUUUCUUGCUAUGGUCAUUGGCUAUUUUAGUUUGCCUGAUUGGACUCCACAGAGAAAAGGAUUUCUUGUCACUGAGGAUGAAAAGUUUGGGAGCGCUCAAAGUGAAUAUUGCCAUCUUGGGUAUAAGUUUGAGAUACUUGAUUCUUCUCUGAUUUUUCCCGUGGAAAACAAAGAUUACUGUCUCCAGCUUAGUCUUCCAAAACUGAGUGGCAGUUUCAUUCCAACAAUUCAUUCAAUAGAUGCUUUAAGAGAUGUGCCCGCUGACUGUGUGAUUCCUGAAAUAAAAAUUUCUGACAUACUUCAUCUGCUGAAUGUAUCUGUACGGGGUACAUCAUUGACAGUCGUUUUGCUUGAUGAUGGUAGAGUUCGAUUAAUGCCUGGGGAGCAUUCUUCUAGUAGAAACGUUACAUUACUUUCACUGCUUGAUGCUGACUUUUGGAUCAGAAUACCACUUGGAACCGAGCCUGAAGAUGAGAAGAAUGCUGUUCCUACUUCCAUCAUGGUGAAAGCAGAUGCCUGCAAUUUGGUCAUUGAAGGUAAGAAAGUAGUCAUAGAUUGUGCUUAUACCAAAACCAGUAAAGCAUUGACUGAAAUACAUUGUUGACGUUGCCAUUAUUGAUUUUUUUAUGUUUUUGUAUGUGUAGAUGGGUGGCUUUUUCAAGCCCUUGAAUCGAUGAGCACAUCCAUAGAUCAGCUUUCAAGUGUUAUUGGUGAAUCCAAUAAUUUCAAAUCUGAUGCUUUGCAAUUUAUUCAGUUAAAGAGAACGUUGAAGGAGACUAAUGCUGUUACAAACCUUUCUGCUGAGAUUCCCAUUGAUAUGAGAAUAUGUGCCAAUGCACUGUCAUUGAAGUUGGUACGCUCUGCCUCGUCAGAACUUGUUGCAGUUGUGAAUACGAAAGUGAUGCUUUCUGCACUUUUAAGAAACGAAAUGGUUCAUAAGGUUGAUGCUGAUAUUAUGCAUAUAGUUCUACAUUCUUCUCUGAAUUCCGUUGUCUUACUAUCAUUUGUCUCAGAAGAUUUCAGUAGUCUCACGAGGAUCAACUUCUCCAGAUCAGAUGAAAAUGGAAAUGAACUUCAACUUUUUAUCCCUGUCCUUGACAUAUGGCUGCAUUUUUCAGACUGGAAUAAAGUAAUUGACCUUGUCAGUGCCUACGAAGGGCUUUCAAGUGGGGUAUCAAGGUCACCUGUGGACUCUUCACCUUCAGAAUCUAAAUCACGGAUUGAUCCUGAAGCUCCAGCUGUAUCGCCUUCCUUUGCAUGCAUAGAUGUCACCCGAAAAGAAGUUGACCUCACUGUGAAAUCCAACAAAAUGGUGCUGUCACUUCACUUACCCAUCAAGGACAUGGAAAAACCCAUGGGUAACAAGGAGGUUGGUGAGUCCCUGGAGUUAUGGAAGAACAUACUCGGAGAAAGUAUGCCUUCCUUCCAUGGAUUGCAUUCACAAUACUUAACCUUUACUCUGCACAGCCGAGAUACAAAAUUGACUGUAAGCAUGAGGGGUAUGGUAAUUAAGUGUAGUGCUGGAAGGAUGAAAAUGACCAUCAAGGUAACCGAAAACCAAGAUUUUCAAUCCAUGCCAUUCAUUCAUUUUUUUCUGGGAAAGGUGUCAGCUGAAAUACAUGGGAAACCACAGAAGUUUUGUCUUACUAUAUCUGACGCGAAAGUGGAAACUUUAGAUAUGAAUCUACUCCAGGAAAUGCUCAAAAUAUUAAUGGACAUUCAGCUUGCAACUUCUGGAACGGAAAAUUGGGAGAUGCCUCUUCACUCUGUAUUCUUUCAUGUGCAUUUGACAAAGUUGUCUUUGCUGUUAAGCGACCAGAGGGUAUGCUACCUUGUUGCAUCUUUCUUGUUCCUUUUUCAUCUUCAACAGGCCCACCGAGUUACUUUGGGCUGCUAUUUGCUUUUUUUAGUCAAAUCAUUUUCAUUUACAUCUUUUGCAUAUUUUUCCUCAUAUAUCAAGCAUGACUCUUCUCCUCACUGGUAAGACUAUUUUUAACCUCAAGGAAACUUUUUAUGAACUUGAAUUGCAUUUGAGAAGGUACUUACUUAUCGUGAAGUGAUCUCUUUAUGUCUCGCACAUUUUUGUGAAAGUAAUUUUUGUAAAUGGUGUGCUUUUAGCUUGCAGCUUAACAGUAUUCAAAUACUCAACAUUCCAAAACUAGAAAUUUAAUGUUACACCAGACACCUCACAAUUUUUGACCUCAUUGCACACAAUUCGAAAAAUUGCGGGAAGUUUAUAUUUAUUUAAAUUAUUUUACUGCUAAUUGCGUAAAAAAUGAUAACAUAGGUAAAAACGUUGUGUUAAACAACAGCAUAGAAUGUUUCGAUUUCUUUAAAUAGAGAGGAUAUGCUAAAUUGUUACAGAGGGCAAAAGAUAUGAAUAGAGAGGAUCAAAGGAUUCUAGCCAAUUAUGUAACUCGUCCAAUGUGCUGAUGAAACAAAUUUUUUAACUCGAUCUCGGAUGUUUUAUUUUUAUUUUUCUCUUAAAUUUGGAGAUAGUAUUUUGAAUUUCAUUGUGGUCAUUUAUAUUAAUUAAGCUCAGUUAGAUGAUUUAUAAGCUAAUUAUUUGAAUAUUUUACCUCUGCAUGGACUCUUAUCUGUGCUUUUUCAUCAUUCUGUAGAAUAAACAUCCUUGGUUAGUUGUAUGCACAAGACACCUUAAAAUAUUCUGUUACAUUAUUAUCCCUAUUUAUUAUAAUCUUUUAUUUGUAUUGAUAUAUUCUAUUUUAGACACUAAAACUCAAAUAUCACGAAGAAUAAGCAGAUAUUUGACUUGGUUUUGCGAAUAAUAUUUGUUAUGCAACCGCAGUGGAAACUUAAUGCUCACAUAGAACCUGGAAAAGUGGAUUGGAACCCAGUAAAUUAAAGAAAAUGUUUUUCCUUUCAUCCUCUCAUUGGUUAUUAUGACGACAACAUGUUUCCAAGCUACCUUUCCAAGUUGGCAGAAGCCAAGGUCAACAGUGGGAUUUGAGAGUCUGGUUUUCUGACUUGUAGUGGCACAAUUUAGAAACUUGUAGGGAUUCGAGAGUCCUCUGGUUUAUGACUCUUUGUGUUAAUUUGCAAAAAUUCUGAUGAUUUUUGGUCUAUCUAAAUUGUCGGAUAAAAGCUGAAGUUCUUUUAUGGUUAUGGCCUCAAUGAUUUGAUGAGUUUCAAAUGUAGAAAUAUCUGUCAUCAGUCUUUAUUGGUUGUGGAGUCCAAUUUUUUGCCGAUUUUAUUUAUUGACUUUUAGGGUUACCAUUCACAAAUCAAAAUGACUCCGGUCUUCACGGCUUGUGGGUUCAAAGUUUGGACACUAUGACGGCUAAUCUCUAUGACAUAGGAUCAAAACGUAGGUGAUGAUGCGACAUGGCAGCCCAUUGCUGUUAUGGGAUAACCCUGUACAUUACUUGCACAUUUGCAUUAUAUGCUUGCUUCAGGGAAAAGUCAAUGGUCUUCCUUAAUUUAUUGUUGCUCUCAGUUGACGAUUUCUUUUAUGGGCCUAAAAAAACUUCUCAGCCAUUCAAGAACCGAUUUUAGCCUCUCAUAUCUGGGUGAUGCCUUUUUCACUCGUUACACUUGUGUGCAGCUGAGAUCUUGUGGAUCCAUAUUUGACAUUACUUGUAAGAACAUGCUUGUUGAAGGGAAAAGUGCUACAAAGUUGUCAGUUGAAUCUCAGCUUUCAGUAAAUUACAAGAAUUUUCAGAAGGUAUAAGAUUCUCUAUGCAAAGAAAGAUUCUACUGUUCCAUUCUAGGCCUUCCAAGAAAUAAACAUAAUGGCAUUUCAGGUUAUGUGGGAGCCCUUUAUAGAACCAUGGAGCUUUUGUUUGGAGCUUAUUCAAUAUGUGAACAGUGGUUUCCCUGGUAGACCUGACACUACAGAUGUAUUCUUGAGCUCACAGCAAGAGCUUAAUUUGAAUAUAACGGAACCUGUCAUUGAGGUACCUCUCUUCUCUAGUCUUCUUAUCGUUAUUUUUGAAUCGGAUACGCUCAUUUGAUAGGAGUGUAUGCUCUUGUACAUGUGUCCUGGUUGUCGAAGGAAUCGAAACGUGUUCUUGAGGAAAAUCACUUGAAAAAAUAAAGGUAACCCGCUUGGAAACUGCCUAGAAACACAGGGGAAGCAUGGGGGUGUAAGAUACUUUGCAGGAAACACGAGGAAAUAUUCAAUGCAAGUAUUCAAUGGGAGACAUGGGCUGUAAGAAGGAUGCUGAAGCACGCAGUACCUAUCUUUUAAUUGCCUUAAUUCCAUAAUAAUAUAAUCGAUCUCCUGAAAAAAAAUAUAUUAGCAUAUCUGCUGUGGUUUUUUUUCAUGAUCCUUCUAUUUUUAUUUUGUCUCCUGUUGCUUCUACUUCUCCCUCUGGCAGCCACCUUAAACUUUUCCUGAGUACGAUUUUCUUCUCUCCUUGCUCACGAGGAGAGCAUCUGGUCAGCCCAGCGGUGUGUGAUCAAUGUUAAUUUUAGUUCUCUUUACUGGGGAAAAUUUUCUGCAGGCUAUUUUCCUGGUGCACCGGAUGGCUAAUGACACGGUGGACACGACUGGGUCUUACAAGUGUCAUGAAAGUGGCGGUCAACUGGCUUUUGAGUUCAGUCACAACGCACUGGGAAAGCACGCUCCCUAUAUUAUCUGCAACGAGACAUCCUUGCCAUUUUCAUUUUGGGUGUCCUACGGCCCUUCCAACUCAGAAAGCACUAGUGUCAUGUCAAUGAAACAGGGGAACACUGUGCAGCCUGGAUUUUCCGUUCCAAUCUAUGUAGAGGAGCCCCCAGAGAGACACUUACCAAAAAAGGCAGCUUAUUCUUCCGAGAGACUCCUAGAGAGAAAAAUGAAUCCCGUUGCACAUCAUCUCAUUUCUGUUCAACUUGAUGGGACUUCAAAUCCGUCCAAGCCCAUGUCCAUGGACCUCGUGGGGAUUAGCUACUUCGAUGCCAGUUUUUCUAAAUCGAGAGCAGCAGGAACGGGUGUAGCUGAAGAUGAGGAGGCUUCACUCAAGGGUAGAGACAGUGAAUCUUACAUCACUGAUCCAUCAACCGGGCUUGUUGUUCCUGUUGUGUUUGACGUCUCAAUGCACUGUUACAGCAAGAUGAUAAGGCUGUACUCAACGGUAUGCAUUUAUGGACCUCCAUUCCAUUCAUUUUUGUUGCCAUCGAUUUGUCCUCAUCCUCGACAUUGUUUACCGUAAUUCAGGUCUUGUUGCUGAACGCAACGUCCAAGAGUCUAGAGCUACGCUUUGAUAUUCCAUUUGGUGUCUCUCCCAAGGUACAGUGACCUCCUUCCCCUGCAUGUGAAUCCACAGCUCCUAUUAAACACGGUACUGUUGGUGGGCCAUGGACAUUCUCCCGGUCCCACCAUCCCGCUUUCAAACACCUGAUGGCACCCAAGACAUGUGCCGCCAUUCGUUCUUAGCUGGACAUGCAUAGAGGUUGGUUUGAUUUCUCCCUUGUAGGGGCUGGGCAUGUUCAAGAGAAGGAAAAUACUCUUGCUUGUUCAUCCAUCAAAUCAGUAUUUUAUGGAUAAUGUGAUCUGUCCGCAGGAUGUUUGCUGAAAAUUUCCAUCUGGUUGGUCUACUUAUUAUAGUCUCUUUUUUCGUAUCAUCUCACGCUUUUAUUUAUUAUUUCCGUUUUGAAUUGGUAAGUAAUUUUUGUGGAAUUUACUGCUGAAGAAAUAAUGGGCAAUUUAUGAACACUAUUUUCUCUUCCCAGAUACUUGGUCCUAUCCAGCCUGGCCAAGAAUUUCCCUUACCUGUGCAUUUGGCUGAAGCUGUUGGGAUGAGAUGGCGUCCAGUUGAUUCAAACUAUUUCUGGAGUGAAGCUCAUUCUCUAUCUAAAAUUCUUUCGCAUGAGAAUAGACUUGGAUUCAUGAGGUCUUUUGUUUGUUACCCAUCGUUCCCCAAGAGUGAUCCCUUUCGUUGUUGUAUAUCCAUUGAGGACCGCAGUGUGAUUUAUCCCUACGGCUCAAAAGGUGGCUCUUCCCUCCACAUAAAUACCACAUCUGACGAAGUUAAGAUCGGUGGGCAGGAUAUGCUCAAUCAUGGUAAAUCAGAAAAAAUGUUUAUUCGUCAAGUGAGGCUGACCACUCCAUUGUUGGUGAAGAACAAUCUUCCUUCGCCAUUAUCCUUGACAAUUGACAGUGGUGGAGUCAUAACGUCCAUCUGCCUGUCAGAGGUCUGCCAUGAAUCUUUCUUCUGAGCGGCCCUCUCCUUCCCUAUAUUGCUUCUUUUCAUAUUAAGGUGGAUUCGGUUGCUGUGUGUUCUUCAGGUGGAUGCUGCCUCCAUCUUUCAGAUCGAUUCCACUCAUGACCUCGAGAUCACAUUCCAUCUGGAGGCUUAUAACCCGGUCAUUUCAAAGUUCCCUCGAGCAGAAACGUUCACAGCCAUGGCAAAGCUGCAUGAGACAAAGUUUGUAACGUCCGACCGACUAACUUUCUAUCCCAGCAAAAAUAAUGGUAAUUCGUCUCAUACAGGUCCCUUUCUUGAUGGAAUUUAUUUGUCCAUAGCAACAUAUUUGACUGACGGGUCGCUGCUCAUAUUAUACAGGUCCAAUAUGUGUCAGAGUGGAUAAGAUGAUGGAUGCCUAUUGUGGUGCACGAGAGAUAUGCAUCUCGGUCCCAUUCCUGCUGUAUAAUUGCACCGGUUUGCCGCUAGGAAUCAUAGAUGAUGAUCUCCAGUAUAAAGGGCAUCCCCAUUAUAUUCCAUCCAGUUACUCUCUCAUAGGGGAUGAGAAUACUUCUCCUGGAAGGCAUGGUAUCUCUCUUUUAACCUCAGGAAGGGAAUUGCUGACUGAUCCAUUGGGUACUGGUAGUAAUUUAGGGAAUCUAUUGAAUCACCACGCCAUGCGUUCGAGCAAGAUAUCUGAGCAACGUUUAUUGAAGACCCGAAGCAAACAAGCUGUGGCAGUAGAUUCACCUGAAGAUGCCCGUGAUCCCUGUGAGAGUGUUGCGCUGGAUAGAAUAGAGACUUCUCAUGCAAAGUUUGGCUGCAAUGGAAUCAGAGGUAGCCGACCGAAUUCCUCUGCAAAUAUCAAAGGCAUGGAAAAUGAAGGAAAAGUCAAGCCACUCAUGUAUUCUCCUCCUAGUCAUUUAUCUGAGAAUGAUCUUGUGGUUAGACUUCAGAAGUAUUCGCUUCAACAACAAGUAACUGAUGACUGGAAUGAUACAUGGUCAAGCCCAUUUUCUCUUGUCCCAGCAAGUGGAUCAACCAGUGUUGUCAUUCCUCAACCAGGAGCAACUGAUGCAUUUCUAGUGUCUGUCACCUCAAGCCAAGUUUCUGGAGACCUCACUGGAAUGACUAGGGCAGUCAUUUUCCAGCCAAGGUACUCUUUUUUUUUGUUGUUGUAUUUAGCAAAAUGAAAAGAAUUGCAUAAGUUUUUAAUUUUUGCUUUUGCGAACGUGUGUAUAGCGUUUGCUUAGUCUAUCAACACAAAAAUUCCCUCUUGUCCGAAGUUCCUUAAUUUUUGUAAUUAAUACUAGUUAUCAUCACUAAUGAAUUCUCAUCCUUUAGAGAUUUCAUUGCAUUUUCUGUUGGAUGCAAUAAGCUAAGACAGCUAUUACUGAAUUUCUACAUGUACACUGAAUCAUAACUUAGGGGCUCUCUGUACCUUGAAAUAUACAUGCUUCAGAGUUGGUGUGGGAUCAGAAUUAAGACUCUGACCUCGAUGCCUCGAACUCAGGUUUUAGCCCAAUAAGGGAUAUAAAAGUCGUAUCCCUUUGUUCAUACUUAGAAAAGGCCCUUUUGAUCAUCGUCAUCAGAUGAGCUCAGUCCUCAAUGAACGACGAUUAAUCUUUUGUUUCGUUGGCUCUCGGUGUGUAUUUCAGAUGUCAGAUGAUAAAUAUGAGCACAAAGAUUUCUUCUUAAGUAUCCACUCCUUGUGAAUCGUCUUCUUCCAUAAAUUGACUGACUGAAACUGAAAACUAAUCGAGUUCCUCAACUUCACAAUCAUGCUGUUGUUCUGGAGAAGUCACUACUUGAAUUUUGAGUCUUCUAGCUUGAGGCUGGAACCUCUAAUACCUAUUUUCGCACGAAUAGCACCAAAAUGAUACGUUGCAGGCAACCCAUACCUUAUAUUUGACCUUGUUUAGCUUCAUCAAAAUGAUUUUAAGUGACAUAUUUUCACUUCCAUAAAUAGUUUCGGCAUGAACAAACCUAAUAGACGAUUGCAGUCGUCGAGUUUUUUUCUCCUAAAGACUGUUAUCACGAUGCCUGAUUUUUGUAGAUCUCGAAAAAAUAGGCCAACAAAGCAUGUGGAAGAAGGGGGGUGAGACUCUCCUUGAUUAGACAUUAAAAAUGUUCGUCGAUUUCCCGUGUGUCCAGGGAUUACCUCUGCUCUGGUUAUUUGACCUGGUUUCGGAUGGACACCCAUCUUUGGGUGGUUUUCCCACAGUUUUUUUGAUAAAAACUUGCAGAAAGACUACAAAUCAGUCCCCUCGGACUCUAUUUCCUGUAAAAGACAUUUAAAGAAUAGGAUGCAGGAGACGUUGUUUGGGUUCUCUCGACCUAUUUAUUAAUGGGGAAAAUCCCGAAAAGAUUAAAAGAAACUUUUAUAAAGGGUACCAUGGAUAAAAUACACAAAUUUUAUCCUAAAUGAGUUAAAGAUACAAUAAAAGCCACAAAUGCCCUUAUCUCUUCAAGAAUAACUUCAUUCAUACUUAAAAUUUUCAAGAAUAUAAAUUUACCUGAAUCCACUUUUUUCCUGUAGACUUGGCGAUUUCAUUGAACUGUCUGCACAGAUCCACUAAGAUGAAAAGUGUUCAAGAUGGGAGUGUAUCCUGUCAGAUACUGACAUUGGUGGCCUCAAAGGUUCAUAUAGCCUUUGGCUUAGGCCAUAACAUUUCCUAGCCUGCAUAUGAAAUUGUGUCCUCUGUGGCAUCUUCCAGAAGGUAAAAUGAAAAAGAAGAGAACUAAAAUGACGAGGGAGCACCAAUAUAGAACCAUUGCAAAGACCCCCGUCACUCUGGGAGAGAGGUUACUACAUUUGUGGCCAGGUGAGGAAUGUCGUCAGUUACUUUGUUUGGGUACCUAAUAUAUCGCAUAUUGCAUAAGAAUAAUUGAGGUUUAUUCUCUAGUGUCAGAAAAAACCUUGGGCUUGGUCCUUUGAGUGUUCCACAUCUCUUGAAAAUGUUUGUCUCUCUAAUAAAAAGUAAUAAAAAGAAUUGAGAACAGAUCCCUUAAUGAUGGAUAUAGUAGUUCCAUUGGUUGGAGGAUAGAUAUGGUCUGGUCCUUGAUCAUCUACCCGACAAUUAUCCUCUCCUGGACCUUUCUCCUUAAUUUUUCAUUAUUUGAAUUCAUGCGUCAAUUGAUUUUGUUUGUAGUGAUGUAUUAAUCAUAACUGGACAUUCCUCUAUUUUUUGUUUGAAAAAUAGAACUCCAAUCCCCUGAGCUCUAUCUUGUGUCUGUAUUGACGAAUGUGAUGUAGUUGGGUUUUUAAAAAACACACUUGUAUUGAUCAUUUUUUUAUGGAUGUAUUUUUGCUUCACGACAGAUACGUUAUCUGUAAUGCUUGUUGCAAGCACCUAUAUUACAAGCAGAAGGGAACCAGUGACUCUCACAGCAUCAGGUUGGGCGUGGGACAACAUUCCCAUCUCCACUGGACGGACAUAACAAGGUAGUGUGGCCAUUUUUGUAACUAAGUGAAAAAUCUUCCAUAGAUUUACACUUCAUACAGAAUAUGAUGAAGUAAAAGUGUCUUAUUUUCUCUUGGUUGCUCACUUUCCCAGCCAUCUUUUUCAGACGAUUCAUGUGGGUUUCUUUUUUAUGCCUACUAGUCCAAAAUCAAAGUUUUGACAUUGACCAUAAGUAGCAUUACACCUGCAUAAUGCUUGUGAUUAAUCACUGCCUCACCCUCCAGCCUUCUACAGUCUCAGCCAAUAGAAACAGCGAGAAGAGAGAUAAGAGGAGCCCAAGAAAUUAUCCCACAUUAUAUGAACUCCAUCCGUUCGCGCUACUCCCCUCCCUAAAGACUAUCCAGGCUUCUUCUUUGCUAAGCAAACAAGAAAGCAUGUGAGCGCCCAGCAUCUGAUGUAAUGAUGAUGCCAUUUUCAUUAGAAGAUAGAGCGAGGUCCGAGAACCAUUUUAGGUUAAGAAUUCGAAUGCAAAUCGCCUUACAUGGUACUUCAAUAGUAAGGCGAGAAAUAUGUUAAUAAUUCUAAAAUAACCCUCAUAGCAUGAAGGAAUUCAUUCUCGAGAUCCAUGGGUUAGUACCCUCAACCUCUCAGCUUCAUACACCAAACUAGCACUGCUGCAUACAAUUUCAUCAAGAUGCCCAUCUAAUGCACCUACUUUCUGCCUACUUUUUUUCCAA
rnacentral:lncRNA from 1 species